UCAGGGCUUCAGGCUCAGACGUGGUGUGCCGUCUAAAAUAAAGCUCAGAUGAUGAGCCAGCUUGUCACAGUGUUUGUGCGUGCCUGUGGCUCCACCUUGCAUACCGACAAUACAUACGCUGUUGUCGGUCGUCGUUGUUUCAUCACCGUCAUUGUUCUUCGUUUUAAUUUCUUCUUCAAGAGUUGUCUGUUGUUGCUCGCCUUUCAGGUGCCUGUUGUAUCAUCCGCGAAUAAAAACGUGUGUUGGUUGUGUGUCUCAGCUUAAAAUGCCUUUGGUCAUGUCACGCCAUUUUCUUAGGGACAUGGCUUUAAUAUCUUUCUACUUGUCUGCACUGUAGAGAACUCUUAUUGUCCUACUAUUCUCUCUCCCAAAAUUCGAAAUUUUUGGCUGCCAAAUUGUCUGUAACAUUCAGAGUGCUCAGACUAUUGGUAGAUCUACCCUCUUGGUCCCAAUGCAUACAUAUAUGUGCCAAAUAAUAAAUUUAUUGUGUCUACUUUAAGUCUAUAUAUAAGGAAAUGCGUAAAGAAAUACAGAACGUAAUUGUUCACGUGUGUCGCCCUUGAGAAGGUAUGAGAAUCAUCCCCACCACCCCUGCCCCUAGCCCCAGGUCUCUCGCUCGUUCCAUUGGCGGCAACAAUCCAUUGCAAACUCGAUGUCGGGAGGUAGGCUGGAUGCCGGCUGCUUAUAGAUCCAAAUGAGUAAGAGCAUCUACAGUCGGGCGUCUCAAACCUUUCUCAAACGCCCGGACGACCGUCGCAAACUGGCUUCAAACACUGACCGGCACCCUCAUAUCCAACCCAAAAAUGUGGCGGAUAUGGGGGCGUCUUGGCAUGCCCGGGACAGCCCGCCACAUCGGACCCGGCCGACGUUGGCCCACCCGAUCGCACAUACAUUCGUCCUCAUCCGCUCGCCGAAGCAAAUCCUAGCCACUUCACUCCACUCUCCAAUGGUCUUGCCGGAUUUACUGAGUCCGGCUGUAGAUGCUCUAAUAAGAGGCCAGGGUGCUCACCAAUGCAACUUACUCCUUUACUUUGGUAAAUAUCAUCAAUUAAAUAUAUCGUGUGAUGUAGACAUGUAGUUAAUAUGGAUGCAAGCCAUUUUCUUCUUGGAAGACAUUGCAACGAUCCGUGGAGUGUUUUUACCUUGCAUUUUACAUGUUACAGUGCCUAUUCUUUGCGGCAGAAAUUUACCAUGGCUCGAUGGUGUCUGCACUUGUUGCCAGCCACCUGUGCCUUCUAUAGCCGUAGUACGUACUCCGUACAAGUUUUGCAUGUGGUACUGGGCUCGUCAUCAUGGCUUGAUGCAAUCUCAAGCUCACGUGGAAGUAGUGGCCGCCUGGCCGGCCAUGCGACAUUUUCCCUUUCUUUAGCAAAGGCUAUGCGACAUUGACUGGCUCAGUGAUGCCGUUUCUAUCAUGCAAGGGGCAACUUCUUCUAUCACACAAGGGCCAAGUUCUGUGCGUACAAAUAGAACGUGAAAGCUGUGUGUUUACAACUGCAGUAAUUUGCGCCCGUGCAAUCUGCACUGCAGUACGCGACAGCAGGUCCUGAAGCUCCCACGCGAGUAGUAUGUUUUUUCUCGCUGGUGAACACUUUUACCAAUUGAAGACCGUGUUCUGGUUUAAGAAGAACAUGGAAGAUCGUUUGAUUUGCUGCAAAGGGAGUCGUAUGCCUAUUUUUCUUGUCGGUGACCUGGCUUUAGUAAGGUUUGUCCCUUUGUUAUCGCCCCAAAGAAAAAGACUGUAGCCCUUGGUGGUUUAGUUUAUAGAAGAAACACAUGAGCCACACAGUGCUAAGUCCAGGACUCGAACACUGGUGGGCAGCGAACACGCCCGUGCUGCUAAACACACGUGCGACACUUGGUUCUCCUAAUUUGAAUUUGAUACACAAAGUUACAAGCCAUGUGUAUCCUUUUAGCGCAUUAUUUCUCUACCAUGGCGUGCCUAUCUAUAUACCUUCACAGUCCAUAUUAAUCUUAUGAAAUGUGGCGGUGACGUGACGCGGAGACAAGUAAGGGGUGAGUAAAGUGGCGGUGGUAGAUAUGUGAAGAUAGUAGCCGUGUAGACCUGAUGUGUAUUGGAAAGGGAAUUGUUCAUGUCAAACGAAACCGAGGUAACUCUAUAAAGUGAUAAGGAACUUUUUUGAACAUUAGUAAGGCAGCUCUUUAUUCAUGUCACAGAGUCAUUGCAUACAAUGUCCUGGAUGCGACCAGGAGUAAUAUCACGGAUGAGAGAGUAAGAACAAAGCUCACUCCUCCUAGACUUCCUAAUCCCAAGCCAUAGAAGCAAAGUCAAAAUAUUUCAAAAAAGAAAAGGUAAACUUCUUAAUGUACAGACACGUAUUUCAUAUUUACCCUGUCACACCUAUUAGUUCAAUAGCAGUGAUCCGCCUCGUUUUUGUUGGCCACCUAUUAGAUCCAAAGAAGCAUAGGCUAGUUGUGAGAGAGUAUGUAGUAUAACGAGUCUAUUUAUGAGGUAAUUUUUUUAGUGAAUAAUGAAAAUGUGCUAGCUUUUGAAGUAAGAAAACUUUAUGAUUAUAUGUAGGUUAUUAAUGAAAUGUGUUUGUGGUACUUAGGUUGAGUGAGGUUUUCUUUUGUCUAAGUCGAUGAUGCUAGCGGUCCGAUGUAAUCUCAAUACACUUAUCCAUGCAUGACACGUAGGAAAGCUCAAUGUGUUGACUUAGACAUUAAAGAAUCUCAAAAAACUUAUAAUCAGAAACACGCUUAAACUUUACAUGUAUCCAUUUGGUCCAGGUAUGUCCUAUACUCAAGGAGGCGAGAGGUGGUGCAUGAGCUAUGUGCAGGAUACAUUUGAAGAUCGUGUUCCAAGUGUCUUCACCAAAUACAGAUGGAGAUGUUUUUGAAAGGUUAUAGAUGAAGACAUAACAAUUAGCUUGGCCUAGAUUUGGCCUACAAGUCGAAUGAUUGCCAAUUUGCAUGUCCAUUGAACAUGUGAAAAAAAAUAUGUGUGUAGUGGUGCACGUUGUGUGUCGAACUUUAUCAUCCCACUCACCCAGUUGAUGGCACGCGGGCAUGGUAGAUUGGAAAGUAAGGCGCCAAAUCUGCACCUAUAAAUAGAGGUGCUACUAACUCUGGCCAAUAACAGCAAUUACAACAUAGUAUUCCACUCACAACCUAAAGAGAUAAGUGAGAGACAUUUGCUCGAAAACCUUAAAAUCAACCAUGAAGAACACCAAGCUCGUGGCGAUCCUUGUCCUCCAGGCCAUCCUGGUCAUGGGAAUCCUCCCACACGUGAAUGGUUCGUAGUUGUUCAUGCUUCUUUAUUCUAUUUGUUUCCUUAAAAAAGUUUGAUUGCCUUUUUGCAAUUCCAUUGAUGUCUUAUAUACCUUAUAAGUGAUUACUAACAUGAUACCAUGCUAUGUGUGCGUGCAGCCAACUACUUCCCCAAGUGUUGUGACAAAUGCAGGUCAUUCUCGGGGGUCGAUGUAUGUGACGACGCCCAUCCUCAGUGCCCCAAGGGCUGCUCCACAUGCCGCGCGGUGCAGACAGGCCGUGUCAAGAUGUUCCGGUGUGCCGACAUGCGCUCCACCAUCAAUGCCACGUUGCAAAAAGAACUAACCAGUUCAACUCAGAUCACAAGACUUGUUCCGCCAAUAAGAGAAGCUCAUAUAAGAUGAGAAUUGUCACCGUAUUUAUGCGUACAUGUGGCCUCACAAUGCACGCUGACAAUGCAUCGAGUAAUAAGAAUGCCAGUGAUCCUCCCGGUUCCUCAGCCGUUUGGGAUUCCUGGCCGUCGGAUCGGCUGGCUUGAUCGGAUCUGGGCCGUCGGAUCGACCCCUAGAGCGACCGCGUCCGUCGGAUCAAAAAAAGUUACUGCUGGAAUGAAUAGUUACUACCGUUUCGCGCCACCGCGCGUAAUUAGUCUGCCCCAUCGGGGGCAUUUUCGUCAUUUCGCCUGCAGGUGUAUAAAACUUGACCACCCGCGUGGAGAUGACCUAGCCCGCACUCGCGCCCCCUCCCUCGUCCUCGCCGCCCCGCCCGCAUCGCCCCGCCCUCUCCCCUCCUUCUCCCGCCCGCAAUGCCGCCGCCCCGCCCGCAUCGCCGCCGCCCUUUCCUCUCCCUCUCCCUCCCUCAGUCCUCGCCGCCCCGCCUGCGUUCUUCCCCAUCUGCUGCUACCUGCGUUCUUCCCCAUCCGCCGCCGCCGCCCCCAGCCUCCGCCCCCAGCUGCACCUAGUCAUCGCUCCUCCCGCACAGCCGCACUCGCACCGCCCCCUUCCCCUUCCUCUCGCCUCACCUCUCUUUCCUUCCAAAUCUCCUCCCGGCCUCGCCUCUUCCUUCCUUCUCCUCCGGCGCCUCCUCCCCGUUGGCUCCUUCUUGCCCCUCCUCCGCCGGUCCUCCUUCUCCUACGUCACCCGGAGGGGUGCAGCUGUCGCUUGCGUUGUAGCUCCCCCUAGGAGCUCGCGCGCCUGAUCCCGCGGCAGUAAGGGGCCGCGGCAGCCGCCGCACAGCCUGACGACCAGGAGCUCCCCGGCGUGGUUCCCUGGAUGGAGGGAUGCUUCCUCCAUCACUGCCUUCUCCGUGCCGACGCCAUCAGUAGCGGCGGCGGUCGGGCUGAUGCGAUGCGACUGCAAGCUCGUCGUGAGAGCAGCGGCAACGGUAAGCUCACCACUCCUUCGUGUUGCACCUGCUAGACCUCCAGGUGCAUCUCUCCCCCCUCCCCCUCUCCCUCCCUAGAGAAUCUGGACCUGGAGAUUUCAAACUGCUGAGCGUGGAAUAGAAAACCCUAGCAAUUUGGUGUGGUGUUCAUAGAGAGGCAGAUCCAGCUUUGCAUUUUUUUCUCAUGAUGUUGUGUUCUUCAAUUUUGCAUUGUGUGAAUAGGUUAGAAUUGAGGGGGUGGGUAGAACUAGAUGUGUCCUAGGUAUCUGCACAGUAGUUUUUGUUGCCUUCCUUAGCUUGUUGGGUACCUGUUUAUUUUCUGUUUAGGAGGACCGAUUUGUCAUGAGGUUGUAUCCUUUCUCAAGGAAUUUUUUGUUCCUAUCUGAUACUAGCAGACAAAUUGGUUGCAGGGUAGCCAGGGUAGGUCUUUCUGCAUAUGCAUUUGAAUAUGAGAUGUCUCAAGAUUGUUGGUCUACUUCUUUUGGUCUUAUACUGACUCUGUCUUUGGUCAGGACAACUUUGAACAACUUGUGUGUCCCUCUCAGAUUCCUACAGAAGAAAGGAUACAUUUUCUUUUCUAUUGGAUGGACAACAAAAUAACCACAACAAUAGGUCUAUCAGGUAAUUGGCCAUGUGUCUUUAUCCAUCUGUAGUUAGAACUUAUAUGUCAGAUUGUGCAAACCACCUCGAUUGUCAUCUAAAUAUUAUCACGAUCUUUCUUUUUUUGUUUAGCCUAGCAAAGGUCAAAUUGCUUCUUCUUUUCAAAAAGUAAUUUCUGAUGUUUGGAGUUUGUGCCUCCAGGAUCUUGGGCUUCUACUAAUCUUUUUUGAACUUUGUUAAUUUUGUCAGAAGAAGCAGGAGCGAAGCAAAGGCAGGAUUCCAUGGUGAGUUUGGAGUUUACCCUCUGUUGAAAUUGGCUCUCAUGCGAGCCGCGACCUUUUCUUAGCCAUGGUGAGUUUGAGGCUUACCCUCUGUUCUUGCUAGCCAAAAUUGGUUUCUCACUGAAUAAUGUUCAUCACACUAUACUCAAGAAUACAAAGGAAGCUACCCAAAUGUGAUAGAUCCUACUCUUCGGCAGCUUAAAUUUAAAGAUGUAGUAGCUGAACAAGACUAGGAUCAUGUUUAUGAUGCAUUUUCCAUCGAUACAGAGGUAUGAAUCAUUGAAUCCUAUGAUUGACAUUGUAAAAACUCUCAGUGAGCAGCCUACCUCCUGAAUUAAUAGUGAGAAGCCAUAUAUUUUCCUUUUAGGUGUAAAAAAUAGUAAAAGAUGAGGUAGCCAUCUCCUACUAAAUUAAUAGUGAGAAGCCUACCAGCUGAAUUUUAUUCUUAGAUGAUAUGAAGGAUUAUCGAUAUUUACUAUUUAGGAUGUAUACAUAUAUGUUACUGGUCUUAUGAUAUUGUUAGCAAAAGUUUUAGUGCUCUUUAUGGUCGACAGUGGCGUGCCGCUCCAAGACACUCUGCUUUCCAUCAACGCCGACAACCACAGCAGGGGUGGAUCCAGCCGACAAGAGGCAGAGCGGCGGUCAACGGUGGUGGCCUGCUCCCAAGCUGCAGGUGAGAAGGUGACGCAACAGUGGUUGGUUUGCAUAAAUAUUCGUCAAUGCAUUCUGAGAAUAUUUUGUGAGGUAUCCUGAUUGGCAUAUGCCGCUUCCAGCAUUUGGGCAUCGUGGUUGUAGCUCACAGUCAGGUAGAAAAUCAGUUAUGUAGCUAUGCCAAAUUAUUUCCUUCAAUAUUGUAAAAAUUUGUGUCCAUUGCAGGAAGCAAAAAACCUUUGAUGGUAUAUGACUUAAUAAUCCACAUGGAUUCUUAUACAUAGGCUGUUUAAUUACUACGUCCACCAUUUCUUUUCAGCUAAAGUCUUUGUCAUACUGUGUAUGGUGUCAAUGCAAACUACCAGAGUCAGAUGAGGCUCACAAUAAGCAGCAAUAUUAGUGCCACUCCUAUCCAGUGUUGAUAACUUGAUAUUUAGCCUGUUUACCUGGCACCAUCAGGUCCAAGGCAUUAGUAUGCUCUUACUUAUUGUACAUGUCAAUAAUUAGAGAACUAGAUUAGCUAACCUUAGCCGUGCAUCGCUCCCAUGUUUACUCUUCUUUGGUGCUGCUAUUACUCACACAAUUUGGAUCGGGAAUACAACACUGUUUAACAUUCAGUUUUGUUUUCUCAGUGCUUUGGAGAAGAUGGACAUGAGGCCCCAAUGGUGGUGGCCUCGCUUUGUUAUCCAUGAUUUCCCUCAUUUGAUUGAUUUGACACAUGUUCAUUCACUAGAUUAUAGUCUACUUCGUGUAUUUAGUUCUAGGUUGUUUUGAUCUAAGUGGUACUUGAUUUCUUGGCAUUGUUCAUUGCCUCGAGCCAUGUCUGAUACUGAAUUUGACCAUGAUCCUCUUGCAGUAAAUAUGACUUAUUUGCUCUCUAUUGGAAUAUUUCUUUCCACAUAUUGCUAGCUCCUUAGGUGUAAUGUUGUUUAAAAUAUUUGUCCUGGAGCUCCUUUGCUCCUGUUCUUGGUGUAGAUAAACCAAAACUGCUCCUUUUAGGCCAUCCAAGAGUCUUAAACGACCAACAUUGUAAUUAGCAUAUGUGGACAGUGUAAGGUAGCCUAUGUCAAUAUCUGAAAGUUUUUUGUGUUUGUUUAUCCUCCUUAAAUCAAUAUGUUCUUUUGAUUUGUAGGACUGUUAGUAAGGUUGAUCAUCGGCAAGCGAAAGUGCUUCGUGGAUGCUUGCACGACCAAGGUGAUUGCAUAUGGACGAGCUGGUGACGAAUCAGUUUCACUUUUGUAUUUCCUUUUGCAUUGGCUUAUUUGAUUUCAAUGUUAUGGGUUCAGUGUUCAUCUUGGAAAAGAUCUACAUCAUAAUUUGGUGUCUCCAUUUAGGGCUAAAUAGUAAAAAAUAUUGUUGUUUCUUGUAACGAUAAACAACUUAUAGUUGUUUUGGUAGCAUAAUUAGGUAAUGAUAUUGUUAAAAGUUUAACUGAUUUAUGAGAAUAAUUCCAUUAUUUAGUCUCACGGUCAUGUUCUUCCUUCAGCGGCUUGGGAGGGAGGAGUGCAUGUUUUCGAGGUAAAAUGCAUGAUGAAUUUAUCUGUAGGGUGUUUUGGCCAUAUGUCAGAGGAGAUCAUUGGAUUUUCCUAUCCUUAUGUUUUACUCCUGAAAAUAGCUUCUAACGAUAUUGUUCUGCAAGCCCUUAAAGCUCCUAGAGUGCAAACACCAUGAGAUAGGGAUGUGAAACUGAAGGAAAGAAGGCCCUGACCACUCUCAUCAUUUACUCAAGUAAUAACACCAUCGGCGACAGGAACGACAAGCUGACACAGGUGAGCUUAGUGUCUCUUAUGAUGUCGUUUUAUGUCUUGGCCUCAAGUUCACAACCAGUUCUUUGUUUGGUGAGAUGUAUGUGUUCUUUCAUGGUUAUUCUCAUUAGGUGGCUGCACUUUUUUUUUCUCAAUUUGUGUUCUGAAUUUAAGGUUGCAGAUGCGUGCCUCGAUUGUUUAUAUAAAUGUGUAAGUAGAAAAAUCUCAUGGGCAACAGCCUGGGAUAGAUAAGAGAGAUACGAAUCAUACGAUGGUCUUUCAGAAGAGAUGCUGCUAUGAAGACCUUUGUAUGUCCCUUGCGGCCAUGCCGACAACUUACUAGAUGUUUUUCUUCCAACGUGGAUCUUCUUUUCUUAAGAACAAACUUUUAUUGUAGAUAUUUUCGAAAGCAUGGCAUAUGAAGUAGAACUGGAUUUUACAUAGUUAUAUCUACGUGCUUGUCCAAGUAUAGACUUCAAUAUAUAGCUUGUGAAAAUUUAAAAUUCGUUUGGUUUAGUGAAUUUCCUUUGUCCAAGUAUGAUUCCUUUUAUACUUCCAUUUUUUUUAGUUGCCACCAUUUUGUAUUUUGUAUUAAAUUGAAAUUUUGAAAUAAGCUGACGACGAUCCUCGGCAGCACAAGUGUAUGGAUAAUUCAGUUUCUUUAGUGAACUCAGUUAAACCUUGCAAUUUUAAGUAUGUGCCGAGUCGUGCAUAGCUUUCUGUUUUGUGUAAGUGGAAAGUAUUAGUAGUUUCACUUUGUCCAAUUUUUUCAGGGACAACUUUUGAGAGUUGGUCCAAACUUAAUGCAUUCAUGGGAUCACCAAUUUUUGGUGCUGGUUGAGAUUGGGUAGGUUGUACCAUGAGUUCCUGGAUGAUUGUUGCAAUUCUCAUGCUUGCUUGCAAGGAUGUUGCAUGAAUUGGAGAGAUUGGGACUGAAUACUGACCUCGAAUAUAUAUAUAUUGAUGCUCCUAUCUUCUCAUUGCAUUUGUCUCUGCAUUAAAUUAGUCAAAUUAAAUUUUUAGUACCAAUUCUACGAUGUAUUCCCCUCAUGGAAUUUUGAUUCCUCUUUCUAUUAGAGUUUUAUGUCUUAUUUAUAUACUAGAUUUAUUUCUUCUCCUAUGACAUGCAGUUCUACAGUUGCGUUUCGGUAUGCAUCUACGCCCCACCAGUAUACUUGGUCUUUCAGUUAUGCCAUCCAGUUUCCUCCCUUUUUGCCUGGUUAUGGCCGUGGUUAGCUUAGGAAGAGAGAGCAGCACAAAUGAAUUGCAUUGAUAAGUUCACAUGUAGCAAAAUCCGGAUUGAAGUGAUCCUCCAAUUUCAAGAAUAGCAUACUGAAUAUGGAUCUAUUAAAUAAUACUGAAUGUCAUGAUGGCCUUCCCAGGAGAUGUAGUUCUGAAUAUCCUACUGCUCUAUGGAUCCAUUAUUGCAAGAACUGUAUAACAAUAUGCACCGAGCUGCUUCAUACCAUCAUUUAGCGUCUCUGUAUUCUAUCUGAUUAGCUUUCCUUAGUGCCAUCUGAUGAGAGGCAUUCUUGUUGCCCUGUACACAUCUUGUGCUCCUAUGAUGGGGCAGAUGAUGUUAUUUAAUUAAUUAUUGGAAGAAAAUGAUAAUCCAUUGGGCUCCCUUCCUUCCUCAUGUCUUUUUUUGCAUGUAUAGUACUUCACUGCUUCCUGCAUGUGAUUCCAUUUGAUUUCACUUUGAUUUUGUUUUCUGCAGAUCGUUUCUUGGUGGCUGCUAAUGAAUCAUGUAAGGAUGGCGCAGAAUUCACCAGAGGAAAAAGACCGAACUACGGGGUUUCCCCAUUGUUAGAGCUCUUGGUGCCCGGACAAGCCCUCUAUAUCCAUUCUCCCUUCGCAGCUCAGCUCCACUGACCAGGUCAGUCCUCACUAAUGGACGGUUACAUAGUUUUUUUUCCUUUUGAACUCUAAAUGUGUGCCCGCCUCUAAGUAAUUUCUUGGAUCCACAUGUUCUGUUCAGAUGGAGAUGGCUGACGAAGAGCUCGAUGUCCAUGACUCGUCAGGUUCCGCUGGCUCCACUAACAACCGUCUACGGGCGCUUGCACAGGUCAGGUGAAACCCGUCCUAUCCCCUCUCUGAUUUUACUGGACGGUUGCAAAAAUAUGAUGAGUGUGUGACUCGGGAAUUUUUAUAAUUAAAAGAAGUACUCACAGAUGUAAACAUUGCUAACUCUGCAAAGAAACACGCAUCUGAUCUAGGGAUUAUUGAUGCUCGCAGAUAGUAGUAAAGAAAUGGUGAUAUUUAGAUCCAGGCAGUGUGAUGAUUUUAACUCUAUUUCUUUGACGUGCUCUUCGUGUAGUUAAUAGCUCUGUAGGUGUUUCCUCGAUUGAUUAGAUGUUGUCUAGGCCUUCUAUGUAGAUGUAUUUUGUUUACAAAGCGCAAGCAUUCUACGUGAUAAUUAGAUUUCUGUCUUUGAAGGUGAUCAUAUUGAUCUUACCUUAUCGACUACUCUUACUAAAACAAGUUGUAUUUUCAACUGACUAAUAGCCCCGUUGUUCUUAAAAAUGCUCAUCACAUGCUCAAGACAAUCUGAUUAACCGAUAGACUUAACGUAUCUCUUUUUAACACUAUGUCUGCUUUUAUCCGCGACUGAUUUCUCUGAUAUAUCUCCCGUACUGUGAUGCAAUUACUGUAAGCAGCUCCUCAUGGCCUUAUGUUUUAUGUUCUCGGGCGCUACAGGAUACCAAGCGAGUGUUUAGGAUCCCACACCGGGCAUUUCUUGACAUGCUCCUAGCACACCUUACACUAAUCACCGGCUCAGUAUGAUCGUGUUGUACAUGAUGACGGCAAGAUCUGUGUGACCAUCUUUUUCAACACCUCUACAUUGGAUCUUGGAGGACCAAUCAGUAUGAACGCGUCGUGUCGUCAUUCCUCCUGGUCUACAUUAUGCCCAAGACAUGCAAAGUUGUGGAUUGUAUGUAAGCUACCAUGUGCUUUUGUACAUCCUAUGCCUGUGAUAUUUGCUACUAAACCUAUUGUGCUACGUGCUUUCUAUGUUUAUACAUUGUUAGGUGGCUCCUUAUUGUGUGCAUACAAACAAACCUUACUUCUGAAUGAUUCUUUGUUAGUUUUUUAUUUUUAUCAUGGUUGACAUAAUAAUGAGUGCAAAAAUUACUUUGCUUAAAUCUGGUUGCUUGGCUGACAAAGAUAUGCUUUCUAUGCUUGUGAUGCUUUCUAUGCUAUGGAUUUUACGUAUUGGAUUAGGGCCAAUGCUUACUUAGGCCAUUUUAAUUUUGAUAAGCCUAUUGUUAAAGUUCAAGAUACUAUGGUUGAUGGCUGAGUACAACUGUACAUAGAUUGUCCUUGGAUUUUCCUUUACGGUAUAUACUGAGUGGAUUGUAAAUACGGUUACCUUGGCCAUUAUUCUUUGUAUGAUGUAUACAGUGUGAAUGCAUAUGCUAAACCUGGUGUUUGGACCGGCACCCUCGCGCCAGGGCGCGAUUCUGAUCUAGUGUACUAUUAUCGGUCGUCGUCGUCGUCGUUUACCUCUUCGAGACUAAGAUGUUGUUGUUCACCGAUCAGGUGCUCGUUCUAUCCUCCGUGAAUAAACACGUGUGUUAAUUGUGCAUCUCUGUUUAAAGAGCAUUUGUUCAUGUCACACGAAUUUUGUGAGCAAGUAGUGUCUAAACGUCGGUAUGCUUUUAUACAUAGUAAAUAACUCUUAUCGUCCUGCUCUUUUAACAUUUCUUUGCCAGAAUUUAAACUCUAUGUCUGCUAAACUGUUAUUAACAUUCGGAGUGCUCAGGCUAUAUGUGGCUCUAUCUUCAUAGUCUACACAUGUAUAUAAAACAAUAAUUUCAUUGGACCUACUUACGUCUAUACAAAUGAAAAUACGGAAGGAACACAACAUAGUUGUUCACGUGUACCACCCUUAAGAAGGUGCGAGAACCAUCUUUGUCGCUCCCCGAUCUCACUCUCAUACAUCCAAGAGCGGGUGUCCUCCUCAAUGGAUAACAAUGGCAACAAGAAGCUUGACGAGGUAUGUUGGUGGUGACCAUCCACUACAAAUCCGACGUUGAGAGGUAGGGUGUGGACAUCGAUGAUGUGCCUAUAAAUCGCUUUCCUUGGGUAGAUGUCAUCGCUUGAACAUAUUGUGUGAUCUUGUUAAUAUGGAUGCAACAUGUUCUUCUUGGAAAACCUUGGAAGUAUUACACAAAGUGCGAAGGGGAUUAAUAAAGCACGACAGAGGUAGCAGCGCAUCGAAACUCCUAUAUGGUGCACUAGGACUGCCCUAAUGCAAUAGUACCCUUUUGGAAGUAACUUUCUAAUCAAUUUGAUUAAUUGCAAAUUGAGUUGUUUAAGUAAUACUCCUUGUUUUUUUUAGAAAAGGAGGAUGACCCUCGGCCUCUGCAUCCGGACGAUGCAUGCGGCCACUUUAUUAAUUAUUCUCGCAAGACCUUACAAAGUCAUACAACAGCAAGACUAAAGCCACCGUGUAAGCAACAACUAUCGCUACACCUAUCCAAUUGAUGAAUGGGCGCUGAUAGCCUGGGCCUAAUACCAAACAGACGUCGUAGCCAAAUCUAAAAAUCUAAGACUUGAGGGCCCAACCAGGACGCCUACCUGGUAUGGGGCACCUACCAGUCCGGCGCACUCCUCAACCAGGACGCCUGCCGGGUAUAUGUUGGGGAUCGUUGCAGAAAAUAAAUAAAAAUUACGCAUCACCAAGAUCAAUCUAUGGAGUCAUCUAGCAACGAGAGAGAGAUGCAUCUACAUACUCUUGUAGAUCGCGACCGGAAGUGUUCAAGAGAACGGGGUUGAAGGAGUCGUACUCAUCGUGAUCCAAAUAACCGAUGAUCCUAGCGCCAAACGGACGGCACCUCCACGUUCAACACAUGUAAGGAGCGGAGACGUCUCCCAUGCCUUGAUCUAGCAAGGAGGAGGGAGAGGUUCAGGAAGAGAUCUCCAGCAGCAGCACGACCGCGUGGUGGUGAUGGAGAGGCAGUACUCCGGCAGGGCUUCGCCAAGCUUCUUCGGAGGAGGAGAGGUGUUGGGGAGGGGAGGGGUUGCGCUUUGGAGGUGUGUGUGCAACCCUCCCCUCGCCCCUCUAUUUCUAGGGGGAGGAUGAAGGGGGCCGGCCCCCUCUAGAUGAGAUCUAGAGGGGGGCGGCCAAGGGGGGGACUUGCCCCCAAGCAAGGGGGGGCGCCCCCUUGAGGGUUUCCCCCCAACCCUAGACACAUGGGCCCAAGGGGGGGUUGCGCCCAGCCCUCUAAGGGCUGGUUCCCUUCCCUCUACGGCCCAUGAGGCCCUCCGGGAGAGGUGGCCCCUCCCGGUGGACCCCUGGAACCCUUCCGGUGGCCCCGGUACAAUACCAGCAUGCCCCCGAACCUUUCCGAUGACCAUAUUACAACUUCCCAUAUAUAAAUCUUCACCUCCGGACCAUUCCAGAACUCCUUGUGACUUCCGGGAUCUCAUCCGGGACUCCGAACAACAUUCGGUUAUCACAUACAAGUCUUCCUAAUAACCCUAGCAUCACUGAACCUUAAGUGUGUAGACCCUAUGGGUUCGGGAAUCACGCAGACAUGACCGAGACAACUCUCCGGCAAAUAACCAACAGCGGGAUCUGGAUACUCAUGUUGGCUCCCACAUGUUCCAUGAUGAUCUCAUCGGAGGAACCACGAUGUCGAGGAUUCAAGCAAUCCCGUAUACAAUUCCCUUUGUCACACGGUACGUUACUUGGCCGAGAUUCGAUCGUCGGUAUCCCAAUACCUCGUUCAAUCUCGUUUCCGGCAAGUCACUUUACUUGUUCCGUAAUGCAUGAUCCCGUGACCAACCACUUGGUCACAUUGAGCUCAUUAUGAUGAUGCAUUACCGAGUGGGCCCAGAGAUACCUCUCCGUCAUACGGAGUGACAAAUCCCAGUCUCGAUCCCUGUCAACCCAACAGACACUUUCGGAGAUACCUGUAGUAUACCUUUAUAGCCACCCAGUUACGUUGUGACGUUUGGCACACCCAAAGCACUCCUACGGUAUCCAGGAGUUACACGAUCUCAUGGUCUAAGGAAAUGAUACUUGACAUUAGAAAAGCUCUAGCAAACGAACUACACGAUCUUGUGCUAUGCUUAGGAUUGGGUCUUGUCCAUCACAUCAUUAUCCUAAUGAUGUGAUCCCGUUAUCAAUGACAUCCAAUGUCUAUAGUCAGGAAACCAUGACUAUCUGUUGAUCAAUGAGCUAGUCAACUAGAGGCUCACUAGGGACAUGUUGUGGUCUAUGUAUUCACACAUGUAUUACGAUUUCCGGAUAACACAAUUAUAGCAUGAACAAUAGACAAUUAUCAUGAACAAGGAAAUAUAAUAAUAACCAUUUUAUUAUUGCCUCUAGGGCAUAUUUCCAACAGUCUCCCAUUUGCACUAGAGUGAAUAAUCUAGUUACAUUGUGAUGAAUCGAACACCCAUAGAGUUCUGGUGUUGAUCAUGUUUUGCUCGCGGAAGAGGUUUAGUCAAAGGAUCUGCGACAUUCAGAUCCGUAUGCACUUUGCAAAUAUCUAUGUCUCCAUCUUGAACAUUUUCACGAAUGGAGUUGAAGCGAUGCUUGAUGUGCCUGGUCUUCUUGUGAAACCUAGGCUCCUUGGCAAGGGCAAUGGCUCCAGUGUUGUCACAGAAGAGAGUCAUCGGCCCCGACGCAUUGGGAAUAACUCCUAGGUCGGUAAUGAACUCCUUCAUCCAGAUUGCUUCAUGUGCUGCCUCCGAGGCUGCCAUGUAUUCCAUUCAAAAUAUACAUGUAUCCGGUUUGUGACUUAGAGUCAUCCAGAUCUGUGUCGAAGCUAGCGUCGACGUAACCCUUUACAACGAGCUCUUCGUCACCUCCAUAAACGAGAAACAUAUCCUUAGUCCUUUUUAGGUACUUCAGGAUAUUCUUGACCGCUGUCCAGUGUUCCAUGCCGGGAUUACUUUGGUACCUUCCUACCAAACUUAUGGCAAGGUUUACAUCAGGUCUGGUACACAGCAUGGCAUACAUAAUAGACCCUAUAGCCGAGGCAUAGGGGAUGACACUCAUCUUUUCUCUAUCUUCUGUCGUGGUCGGGCAUUGAGCCGAGCUCAAUUUCACACCUUGCAACACAGGUAAGAACCCCUUCUUGGACUGAUCCAUAUUGAACUUCUUCAAUAUUUUAUCAAGGUAUGUGCUUUGUGAAAGACCUAUGAGGUGUCUCGAUCUAUCUCUAUAGAUCUUGAUGCCUAAUAUAUAAGCAGCUUCUUCAAGGUCCUUCAUUGAAAAACACUUAUUCAAGUAGGCCUUAAUGUUGUCCAAAAGUUCUAUAUCAUUUCCCAUCAAAAGUAUGUCACCUACAUAUAAUAUGAGAAAUGCUACAGAGCUCCCACUCACUUUCUGGGAAAUGCGGGCUUCUCCUUAAGUCUGCAUAAACCCAAACACUUUGAUCACUUCAUCAAAGCGAAUGUUCCAACUCUGAGAUGCUUGCAGCAGCCCAUAGAUGGAGCACUGGAGCUUGCAUACCUUGUUAGCAUUCUUAGAAAUGUUAGCAUUCUUAGGAAGUCGUUAAGGAAUGUCGUUUUGACAUCCAUUUACCAUAUCUCAUAAUCGUAGAAUGCGGCAAUUGCUAACAUGAUUCGGACGGACUUCAGCUUCGCUAUGGGUGAGAAGGUCUCAUUGUAGUCAACCCCUUGAACUUGUCGAUAACCCUUAGCGACAAGUCGAGAUUUAUAGAUGGUAACAUUACCAUCCGCAUCCGUCUUCUUCUUCAAGAUCCAUUUGUUUUCUAUCGCUUGCAGAUAAUCAGGAAAGUCUGUCAAAGUCCAUACUUUGUUUUCAUACAUGGAUCCUAUCUCGGAUUGCAUGGCUUCUAGCCAUUUGUUGGAAUCUGGGCCCGCCAUCGCUUCUUCAUAUUUCGAAGGUUCACCGUUGUCUAACAAUAUGAUUUUCAAGACAGGGUUGCCAUACCAUUCUAGUGUGGAACGUGUCCUUGUGGACCUAUGAAGUUCAGUAGUAACUUGAUCCGAUCCUCUCUAGUCGGUGCAGGCACCACAGGAACAUCUUCCUGAGCUGCGCUACUUUCCGGUUUAAGAGGCAGUACUUCAUCGAGUUCUACUUUCCUCCCACUUAUUUCUUUCGAGAGAAACUCUUUCUCCAGAAAGGACCCGUUCUUGGCAACAAAGAUCUUGCCUUCGGAUCUUAGGUAGAAGGUAUACCCAAUGGUUUCCUUAGGGUAUCCUAUGAAGACGCAUUUUUCCAACUUGGGUUUGAGCUUUUGAGGUUGAAGUUUCUUGACAUAAGCAUCGCAUCCCCGAACUUUUAGAAACGACAGCUUAGGUUUCUUUCCAAACCAUAAUUCAUACGGUGUCGUCUCAACGGAUUUAGAUGGUGCCCUAUUUAAAGUGAAUGUAGCUGUCUCUAAAGCGUAUCCCCAAAAUGAUAGCGGUAAAUCGGUUAGAGACAUCAUAGACCGCACCAUAUCCAAUAGAGUGCGAUUACGAUGUUCAGACACACCAUUACGCUGAGGUGUUCCAGGCGGCAUGAGUUGUGAAACAAUUCCACAUUUCCUUAAGUGUGUCCCAAACUCGUGACUUAAAUAUUCUCCCCCACGAUCUGAUUGUAAGAACUUUAUUUUUCUGUCACAUUGAUUUUCUACCUCAUUCUGAAAUUCCUUGAACUUUUCAAAGGUCUCAGACUUGUGUUUCAUUAAAUAGACAUACCCAUAUCUACUUAAGUCAUCAGUGAGGGUGAGAACAUAAUGAUAGCCACCGCGAGCCUCAACGCUCAUUGGACCACACACAUCAGUAUGUAUAAUUUGUUUGAAAUAUGCCCUAGAGGCAAUAAUAAAAUGGUUAUUAUUAUAUUUCUUUGUUCAUGAUAAUUGUCUGUUAUUCAUGCUAUAUUUGUAUUAUCCAGAAAUCGUAAUACACGUGUGAAUACAUAGACCACAACAUGUCCCUAGUGAGCCUCUAGUUGACUAGCUCGUUGAUCAACAGAUAGUCAUGGUUUCCUGACUAUGGACAUUGGAUGUCAUUGAUAAUGGUAUCACAUCAUUAGGAGAAUGAUGUGAUGGACAAGACCCAAUCCUAAGCAUAGCUCAAAGAUCGUGUAGUUCAUUUAGCUAGAGCUUUUCCAAAUGUCAUGUAUCAUUUCCUUAGACCAUGAGAUUGUGCAACUCCCGGAUACCGUAGGAGUGCUUUGGGUGUGCCAAACGUCACAACGCAACUGGGUGACUAUAAAGGUGCACCACGGCUAUCUCCGAAAGUGUCUGUUGGGUUGGCACGAAUCGAGACUGGGAUUUGUCACUCCGCAUGACGGAGAGGUAUCUCUGGGCCCACUUGGUAAUGCAUCAUCAUAAUGAGCUCAAUGUGACCAAGUGUCUGGUCACGGGAUCAUGCAUUACGGUACGAGUAAAGUGACUUGCCGAUAAUGAGAUUAAACGAGGUAUUGGGAUACCAACGAUCGAGUCUCGGGCAAGUAACGUAACAAUUGACAAAGGGAAUUGUAUACAGGGUUGAUUGAAUCCUCAAUAUCGUGGUUCAUCCGAUGAGAUCAUCGAGGAGCAUGUGGGAGCCAACAUGGGUAUCCAGAUCCCGAUGUUGGUUAUUGACCGGAGAGGCGUCUCGGUCAUGUCUGCAUGUCUCUCGAACCCGUAGGGUCUACACACUUAAGGUUCGGUGACGCUAGGGUUGUAGAGAUAUGAGUAUGCAGUAAACUGAAAGUUGUUCGGAGUCCCGGAUGAGAUCCCGGACGUCAUGAGGAGUUCCGGAAUGGUCCGGAGGUAAAGAAUUAUAUAUAGGAAGUCAGGUUUCGGCCAUCGGGAAAAUUUCAGGGGUCACCGGUAUUGUACCAGGACCACCGGAAGGGUCCCGGGGGUCCACCGGGUGGGGCCACCUAUCCCGGAUGGCCCCAUGGGCUGAAGUGGGAGGGGAACCAGCCUCUGGUGGGCUAGUGCGCCCCGCCUUGGGCCCCGCCUGCGCCUAGGGUUGGAAACCCUAGGGGUGGGGGGUGCCUUCACUUGCCUUGGGGGGCAAGGCACCCCCCUUGGCCACCGCCCCCCCUAUGAGAUCCCAUCUCCUAGUGCCGGCGCCCCCCUAGGGGCCCUAUAUAAAGCGGGGGAGGGAGGGUAGCCGCAACCUUGUACUUGGCGCCUCCCUUCCCCCUUGCUACACCUCUCCCUCUUGCGGACGCUUGGCGAAGCCCUGCCGAGAUCACUGCUGCAUCCACCACCACGCCAUUGUGCUGCUGGAUCUUCAUCAACCUCUCCUUUCCCCUUGCUAGAUCAAGAAGGAGGAGACGUCUCACUAACCGUAUGUGUGUUGAACGCAGAGGUACCGUCCGUUCGGCGCUAGGAUCUCCGGUGAUUUGGAUCACGACGAGUACAACUCCCUCAACCCUGUUCUCUUGAACGCUUCCGCUCGAUCUACAAGGGUAUGUAGAUGCACUCCUCUCUCUCGUUUCUAGAUUAAAUCAUAGAUUGAUCUUGGUGAAACCGUAGGAAAUUUUUUAUUUUCUGCAACGUUCCCCAACAGUGGCAUCAUGAGCUAGGUCUAUGUGUAGUUCUCUUUGCACGAGUAGAACACAAAUCUGUUGUGGGCGUUGAUGUUGUCAACUUUCUUUCCAUUACUAGUCUUAUUUUGCUUCAGCAUUAUUGUGGGAUGAAGCGGCCCGGACCGACCUUACAUGUACGCUUACGUGAGACAGGUUCCAUCGACUGGCAUGCACUUGUCGCUUUAUUUAAGGAAAUAAAACGCUAUGUAAUUGCUUUACUUUAUCACUAAGUGGUAGCGAUAGUCGUAGAAGAAAUGGUUGGCGAGACGACCACGACGCUACGAUGGAGAUGAAGGUGUCAAGCCGGUGACGAUGGAGAUCAUGACGUUACUUUGGUGAUGGAGAUCAUGAUCACAAGAAGAUGUUGGAGAUCAUGAGUAAUUGUUGGCAAGCAACUUCAUGGAGACACGAUGAUGGAGAUCAUGAUGAUGGAGAUCAUGGUGUCAUGCCGGUGACGAAGAUGAUCAUGGAGCCCCGAAGAUGGAGAUCAAAGGAGCUAUAUGAUAUUGGCCAUAUCAUGUCACUGUUUAAUUGCAUGUGAUGUUUAUUAUGUUUAUGCAUCUUGUUUACUUAGAACGACGGUAGUAAAUAAGAUGAUUCCUCAUAAUAAUUUCAAGAAAGUGUUCACCCUAAAUGUGCACCAUUGUGAAAGUUCAUCGUUUCGAAGCACCAAGUGAUGAUCGGGUGUGAUAGAUUCUAACGUUCACAUACAACGGGUGUAAGACAGAUUUACACAUGCAAAACACUUAGGUUAACUUGACGAGCCUAGCAUGUACAAACAUGGCCUCGGAACACAAGAGACCGAAAGGUCGAACAUGAGUCGUAUGGAAGAUACGAUCAACAUGGAGAUGUUCACCGAUGAUGACUAGUCCGUCUCACGUGAUGAUCGGACACGGCCUAGUCGACUCGGAUCAUGUAUCACUUAGAUGACUAGAGGGAUGUCUAAUCUGAGUGGGAGUUCAUUAAAUAAUUUGAUUAGAUGAACUUAAUUAUCAUGAACUUAGUCUAAAAACCUUUGCAAAUAUGUCUUGUAGAUCAAAUGGCCAACGCUCAUGUUCACCUCAACUUCAACGCGUUCCUGGAGAAAACCAAGCUGAAAGAUGAUGGCAGCAACUAUACGGACUGGGUCCGGAACCUGAGGAUCAUCCUCAUAGCUGCCAAGAAAGAUUAUGUCCUAGAAGCACCGCUAGGUGAAGCACCCAUCCUAGAGAACCAAGAUGUUAUGAACGCUUGGCAGUCUCGUGUUGAUGAUUACUCCCUCGUUCAGUGCGGCAUGCUUUACAGCUUAGAACCGGGGCUCCAAAAAUGUUUUGAGCAACACGGAGCAUAUUAGAUGUUCGAAGAGCUGAAAAUGGUUUUCCAAGCUCAUUCCUGGGUCGAGAGAUAUGAAGUCUCCGACAAGUUCUUCAGCUGUAAGAUGGAGGAAAACAGUUCUGUCAGUGAGCACAUACUCAAGAUGUCUAGGUUGCACAACCGCCUGACUCAGCUGGGAGUUAAUAUCCCGGAUGAUGCGGUUAUUGACAGAAUCCUCCAGUCGCUUCCACCGAGCUACAAGAGCUUUGUGAUGAACUUCAAUAUGCAGGGGAUGGAAAAGACCAUUCCUGAGGUAUAUUCAAUGCUAAAAUCAGCGGAGGUAGAGAUCAAGAAAGAACAUCAAGUGUUGAUGGUGAAUAAAACCACUAAGUUCAAGAAAGGCAAGGGUAAGAAGAACUUCAAGAAGGACGGCAAGGGAGUUGCCGCGCCCGGUAAGCCAGUUGCUGGGAAGAAGUCAAAGAAUGGACCCAAGCCUGAGACUGAGUGCUUUUAUUGCAAGGGAAGUGGUCACUGGAAGCGGAACUACCCCAAGUACUUAGCGGACAAGAAGGUCGGCAACACUAAAGGUAUAUGUGAUAUACAUGUAAUUGAUGUGUACCUUACCAGUACUCGUAGUAGCUCCUGGGUAUUUGAUACCGGUGCAGUUGCUCAUAUUUGUAACUCAAAGGAGGAACUGCGGAAUAAACGGAGACUGGCAAAGGACGAGGUGACGAUGCGCGUCGGGAAUGGUUCCAAGGUCGACGUAAUCGCCGUCGGCACGCUACCUCUACAUUUACCUACAGGGGUAGUUUUAAACCUCAAUAAUUGUUAUUUAGUGCCAAGUUUGAUCAUGAACAUUGUAUCUGGAUCUCGUUUAAUACGAGAUGGCAACUCAUUUAAAUCCGAGAAUAAUGGUUGUUCUAUUUAUAUGAGAGAUAUGUUAUAUGGUCAUGCCCCAAUGGUCAAUGGUUUAUUCUUAAUGAAUCUCGAACAUGAUGUUACACAUAUUCAUAGUGUGAAUAAUAAAAUAUGUAAAGUUGAUAACGAUAGGCCCACAUACUUGUGUCACUGCCGCCUUGGUCAUAUUGGUGACAAGCGCAUGAAGAAGCUCCAUGCUGAUGGACUUUUAGAGUCUCUCGAUUAUGAAUCAUUUGACACAUGCGAACCAUGCCUCACGGGCAAAAUGACCAAGACUCCGUUCUCCGAAACAAUGGAGCGAGCAACCAACUUAUUGGAAAUCAUACAUACUGAUGUCUGCGGUCCAAUGAGCGUUGAGUCUCGCGCAGGAUAUCGUUAUGUUCUCACUCUCACUAACGACUUGAGUAGAUAUGGGUAUGUCUACUUGAUGAAACACAAGUCUGAGACCUUUGAAAAGUUCAAGGAGUUUCAGAAUGAGGUAGAGAAUCAACGUGACCGAAAGAUAAAGUUCCUACGAUCAGAUCGUGGAGGAGAAUAUUUAAGUCAUGAAUUUGGUAUGCACUUAAGGAAAUGUGGAAGCGUUUCACAACUCACGCCGCCUGGAACACCUCAGUGUAACGGUGUGUCCGAACGUCGUAAUCGCACUUUAUUGGAUAUGGUGCGAUCUAUGAUGUCUCUUACCGAUGUACCGCUAUCUUUUUGGGGAUACGCUCUAGAGACAGCUACAUUCACUUUAAAUAGGGCACCUUCUAAAUCCGUUGAGACGACACUGUAUGAAUUAUGGUUUGGGAAGAAACCUAAGCUGUCGUUUCUAAAAGUUUGGGGAUGCGAUGCUUAUGUCAAGAAACUUCUACCUAAAAAGCUCGAACCCAAGUAGGAAAAAUGUGUCUUCAUAGGAUACCCUAAGGAAACCAUUGGGUAUACCUUCUACCUCAGAUCCAAAGGCAAGAUCUUUGUUGCCAAGAACGGGUCCUUUCUGGAGAAAGAGUUUCUCUCGAGAGAAGUAAGUGGGAGGAAAGUGGAACUUGAUGAAGUACUACCUCUUGAACCGGUGAGUAGCGCAGCUCAGGGAGAUGUUCCUGUGGUGCCAGCACCAACUGAAGAGGAAGUUAAUGAUGAUGAUCAAGGUACUUCGCAUCAAGUUACUACUGAACUUCGUAGGUCCACGGGGACAUGUUCCACACCAGAGUGGUAUGGCAAUCCUGUCCUAGAAACCAUGUUGUUAGACAACGGUGAACCUUCGAACUAUGAAGAAGCGAUGGCGGGCCCAGAUUCCAACAAAUGGCUUGAAGCCAUGCAAUCCGAGAUAGGAUCCAUGUAUGAAAAUGAAGUAUGGACUUUGAUAGACUUGCCCGAUGAUCGGCGAGCGAUGGAAAACAAAUGGAUCUUUAAGAAGAAGACGGACGCGGAUGGUAAUGUUACCAUCUAUAAAGCUCGACUUGUCGCUAAGGGUUAUCGACAAUUUCAAGGGGUUGACUACGAUGAGACAUUCUCUCCCGUAGCGAAGCUAAAGUCCGUCUGAAUCAUGUUAGCAAUUGCCGCAUACUAUGAUUAUGAGAUAUGGCAAAUGGACGUCAAAACGGCAUUCCUUAACGGUCAUCUUAAGGAAGAAUUGUAUAUGAUGCAGCCGGAAGGAUUUGUCGACCCUGAGAAUGCUAACAAGGUAUGCAAGCUCCAGCGAUCCAUUUAUGGGCUGGUGCAAGCAUCUCGGAGUUGGAACAUUCACUUUGAUGAGAUGAUCAAGGCGUUUGGGUUUAUGGAGACUUAUGGAGAAGCCUGCAUUUACAAGAAAGUGAGUGGGAGCGCUGUAGCAUUUCUCAUAUUAUAUGUAGAUGACAUACUUUUGAUGGGAAAUGAUAUAGAACUCUUGGACAGCAUUAAGGCCUACUUGAAUAAGUGUUUUUCAAUGAAGGACCUUGGAGAAGCUGCUUACAUACUAGGCAUCAAGAUCUAUAGGGAUAGAUCGAGACGCCUCAUAGGUCUUUCACAAAGAACAUACCUUGAUGAGAUAUUGAAGAAGUUCAAUAUGGAUCAGUCCAAGAAAGGGUUCUUGCCUGUAUUGCAAGGUGUGAGAUUGAGCUUGGCUCAAUUCCCGACCACGGCAGAAGAUAAAGAAGAGAUGAGUGUCAUCCCCUAUGCCUCAGCCAUAGGGUCUAUUAUGUAUGCCAUGCUGUGUACCAGACCUGAUGUAAACCUUGCCGUAAGUUUGGUAGGAAGGUACCAAAGUAAUCCCGGCAAGGAACACUGGACAGCGGUCAAGAACAUCCUAAAGUACCUGAAAAGGACUAAGGAUAUGUUUCUCGUUUAUGGAGGUGACAAAGAGCUCAUCGUAAAGGGUUACGUCGAUGCUAACUUCGACACAGAUCUGGAUGACUCUAAGUCACAAACCGGAUACGUGUAUAUUUUGAAUGGUGGGGCAGUAAGCUGGUGCAGUUGCAAGCAAAGCAUCGUGGCGGGAUCUACAUGUGAAGCAGAGUACAUGGCACCCUCGGAGGCAGUGCAUGAAGCAAUCUAGGUGAAGGAGUUCAUCAUCGACCUAGGAGUCAUACCCAAUGCGUCGGGGCCGAUCAAACUCUUCUGUGACAACACUGGAGCUAUUGCGCUUGCCAAGGAGCCCAGGUUUCACAAGAAGACCAGGCACAUCAAGCGUCGCUUCAACUCCAUACGUCAAAAUGUUCAAGAUGGAGACAUAGAUAUUUGUAAAGUACAUACAGACCUGAAUGUGGCAGAUCCGUUGACUAAACCUCUCCCUAGGGCAAAACAUGAUCAACACCAGAAUUCCAUGGUUGUUCGAUUGAUCACAAUGUAACUAGAUUAUUGAACUCUAGUGCAAGUGGGAGACUGUUGGAAAUAUGCCCUAGAGGCAAUAAUAAAAUGGUUAUUAUUAUAUUUCUUUGUUCAUGAUAAUUAUCUGUUAUUCAUGCUAUAAUUGUAUUAUUCGGAAAUCGUAAUACACGUGUGAAUACAUAGACCACGACAUGUCCCUAGUGAGCCUCUAGUUGACUAGCUCGUUGAUCAACUGAUAGUCAUGGUUUCCUGACUAUGGACAUUGGAUGUCAUUGAUAACGGGAUGACAUCAUUAGGAGAAUGAUGUGAUAGACAAGACCCAAUCCUAAGCAUAGCUCAAAGAUCGUGUAGUUCGUUUAGCUAGAGCUUUUCCAAAUGUCAAGUAUCAUUUGCUUAGACCAUGAGAUUGUGCAACUCCCGGAUACCGUAGGAGUGCUUUGGGUGUGCCAAACGUCACAACGUAACUGGGUGACUAUAAAGGUGCACUACGGGUAUCUCCGAAAGUGUCUGUUGGGUUGGCACGAAUCGAGACUGGGAUUUGUCACUCCGCAUGACGGAGAGGUAUCUCUGGGCCCACUCGGUAACACAUCAUCAUAAUGAGCUCAAUGUGACCAAGUGUCUAGUCACGGGAUCAUGCAUUACGGUACGAGUAAAGUGACUUGCCGGUAACGAGAUUAAACGAGGUAUUGGGAUACCGAUGAUCGAGUCUCGGGCAAGUAACGUACCAAUUGACAAAGGGAAUUGUAUACAGGGUUGAUUGAAUCCUCGACAUCGUGGUUCAUCCGAUGAGAUCAUCGAGGAGCAUGUGGGAGCCAACAUGGGUAUCCAGAUCCCGCUGUUGGUUAUUAACCGGAGAGGCGUCUCGGUCAUGUCUGCAUGUCUCCCGAACCCGUAGGGUCUACACACUUAAGGUUCAGUGAUGCUAGGGUUGUAGAGAUAUGAGUAUGCAGUAAACCGAAUGUUGUUCGGAGUCCCGGAUGAGAUCCCGGGCGUCACGAGAAGUUCCGGAAUGGUCCGGAGGUAAAGAAUUAUAUAUAGGAAGUCAGGUUUCUGCCAUCGGGAAAAUUUCGGGGGUCACCUGUAUUGUACCGGGACCACCGGAAGGGUCCCGGGGGUCCACCGGGUGGGGCCACCUAUCCCGAAGGGCCCCAUGGGCUCAAGUGGGAGGGGAACCAGCCCCUGGUGGGCUGGUGCGCCCCCCCCCCCCUUGCCCGCGCCUAGGGUUGGAAACCCUAGGGGUGGGGGGCGCCUCCACUUGCCUUGGGGGGCAAGGCACCCCCCUUGGCCGCCGCCCCCCCUAGGAGAUCCCAUCUCCUAGGGCCGGCACCCCCCCUAGGGGCCCUAUAUAAAGAGGGGGGAGGGAGGGCAGCUGCACCCUUGUACUUGGCGCCUCCCUUCCCCCUUCCUACACCUCUCCCUCUCGCAGACACUUGGCGAAGCCCUGCCGAGAUCAUUGCUGCAUCCACCACCACGCCGUCGUGCUGCUGGAUCUUCAUCAACCUCUCCUUUCCCCUUGCUGGAUCAAGAAGGAGGAGACGUCUCGCUGACCGUACGUCUGUUGAACGCGGUGGUGCCAUCCGUUCAGCGCUAGGAUCUCUGGUGAUUUGGAUCACGACGAGUACAACUCCCUCAACCCCGUUCUCUUGAAUGCUUCCGCUCGAUCUACAAGGGUACGUAGAUGCACUCCUCUCUCUCGUUGCUAGAUGAACUCAUAGAUUGAUCUUGGUGAAACCGUAGGAAUUUUUUUAUUUUCUGCAACAUUCCCCAACAUAAUUUCCAAUAAGUUGGUUGCUCGCUCCAUUGUUCCGGAGAACGGAGUCUUGGUCAUUUUGCCCAUGAGGCAUGGUUCGCACGUGUCAAAUGAUUCGAAAUCAAGAGACUCCAAAAGUCCAUCUGUAUGGAUCUUCUUCAUGCGUUUGAUGCCAAUGUGACCAAGGCGGUAGUGCCACAGAUAUGUGGGACUAUCAUUAUCAAUCUUACAUCUUUUGGUAUUCACACUAUGAAUAUGUGUAACAUCACGUUUGAGAUUCAUUAAGAAUAAACCGUUGACCAGCGGGGCAUGACCAUAAAACAUAUCUCUCAUAUAAAUAGAACAACCAUUAUUCUCGGAUUUAAAUGUGUAGCCAUCUCAUAUCAAAUGAGAUCCAGAUACAAUGUUCAUGCUCAAAGCUGGCACUAAAUAACAAUUAUUGAGGUUUAAAACUAAUCCGUAGGUAAAUGUAGAGGUAGCGUGCCGACAUCGAUCACAUCGACCUUGGAACCAUUCCCGACGCGCAUCGUCACCUCGUCCUUCACCAGUAUCCAUUUAUUCCGCAAAUCCUGUUUUGAGUUACAAAUAUGAGCAACUGCACCGGUAUCAAAUACCCAGGAGCUACUACGAGUACUAGUAAGGUACACAUCAAUUACAUGUAUAUCACAUAUACCUUUGGUGUUGCCGGCCUUCUUGUCCGCUAAGUACUUGGGGCAGUUCCGCUUCCAGUGUCCACUUACCUUGCAAUAAAAGCACUCAGUCUCAGGUUUGGGUCCAUGCUUUGGCUUCUUCCCGCCAACUGGCUUACCGGGCGCGGCAACUCCCUUGUCGUCCUUCUUGAAGUUCUUCUUACCCUUGCGUUUCUUGAAACUAGUGGUUUUAUUGACCAUCAACACUUGAUGUUCCUUUUUGAUUUCUACCUCCGCUGAUUUCAGCAUUGGAAAUACCUCAGGAAUAGUUUUCACCAUCCCCUGCAUAUUGUAGUUCAUCACAAAGCUCUUGUAGCUUGGUGGGAGCGUCUGAAGGAUUCUGUCAACGACCGCAUCAUCCGGGAGGUUAACUCCCAGCCGAGACAAGCGGUUGUGCAACCCAGACAUUUUGAGUAUGUGCUCGCUGACAGAACUAUUCUCCUCCAUCUUACAACUGUAGAACUUGUCGGAGACUUCAUAUCUCUCGACCCGGGCAUGAGCUUGGAAAACCAUUUUCAGCUCUUGGAAGAUCUCAUAUGCUCCGUGUUGCUCAAAACGCUUUUGGAGCCCCGGUUCUAAGCUGUAAAGCAUGCCGCACUGAACCAGGGAGUAAUCAUCACUACGCAACUGUCAGACGUUCAUAACGUCUUGAGUUGCUGGGAAAACGGAUGCUUCAACUAGCGGUGCAUCUAGGACAUAUGCUCUUUUUGCAGCUAUGAGGAUGAUCCUCAACUUCCGGACCCAGUCCGUAUAGUUGCUGCCAUCGUCUUUCAGCUUGGUUUUCUCUAGGAACACGUUGAAGUUGAGGGCAAUAUUAGCGUGGGCCAUUUGAUCUACAAGACAUAUUGCAAAAGGUUUAGACUAAGUUCAUGAUAAUUAAGUUCAUCUAAUCAAAUUAUUUAAUGAACUCCCACUCAGAUAGACAUCCCUCUAGUCAUCUAAGUGAUCCAUGAUCCGAGUCAACUAGGCCGUGUCCGAUCAUCACGUGAGACGGAUUAGUCAUCAUCGGUGAGCAUCUUCAUGUUGAUCGUAUCUUCUAUACGACUCAUGUUCGACCUUUCGGUCUCUUGUGUUCCGAGGCCAUGUCUAUAAAUGCUAGGCUCGUCAAGUCAACCUAAGUGUUUUUGCAUGUGUAAAUCUGUCUUACGCCCGUUGUAUGUGAAUGUUAGAAUCUAUCACACCCGAUCAUCACGUGGUGCUUCGAAACAACGAAAUUUCGCAAUGGCGCACAGUUAGGGGGAACACUUUCUUGAAAUUAUUAUGAGGGAUCAUCUUAUUUACUACCGUCGCUCUAAGCAAAUAAGAUGCAGAAACAUGAUAAACAUCACAUGCAAUCAAAUAGUGACAUGAUAUGGCCAAUAUCAUUUUGCUCCUUUUGAUCUCCAUCUUCGGGGCGCCAUGAUCAUCAUCGUCACCGGCAUGACACCAUGAUCUCCAUCAUCAUGAUCUCCAUCAUCGUGUCUUCAUGAAGUUGUCACGCCAAUGAUUACUUCUACUACUAUGGCUAACGGUUUAGCAAUAAAGUAAAGUAAUUACAUGGCAUUAUUCAAUGACACGCAAGUCAUACAAUAAUUAAGACAACUCCUAUGGCUCCUGCCGGUUGUCAUACUCAUCGACAUGCAAGUCGUGAUUCCUAUUACAAGAACAUGAUCAAUCUCAUACAUCCCAUAUAUAUCAUUCAUCACAUCCUUUUUGGCCAUAUCACAUCACAAGGCAUAUGCUGCAAAAACAAGUUAGACGUCCUCUAAUUGUUGUUGCGUGUUUUUACGUAGCUGCAAUAGGGUUCUAGCAAGAACGUUUCUUACCUACGUCAAAACCACAACGUGAUAUGCCAAUUUCUAUUUACCCUUCAUAAGGACCCUUUUCAUCGAAUCCGAUCCGACUAAGGUGGGAGAGACAGACACCCGCUAGCCACCUUAUGCAACUGCGUGUCAGUCAGUGGAACCUGUCUCACGUAAGCGUACGUAUAAGGUCGGUCCGGGCCGCUUCAUCCCACGAUACCACCAAAACAAGAUAAGACUAGUAGUGGCAAGUAAUUUGACAAAAUCUACGCCCACAACAAAACUGUGUUCUACUCGUGCAUAGAAACUACGCAUAGACCUAGCUCUGAUACCGCUGUUGGGGAUCGUUGCAGAAAAUAAAUAAAAAUUAUGCAUCACCAAGAUCAAUCUAUGGAGUCAUCUAGCAACGAGAGAGAGAUGCAUCUACAUACUCUUGUAGAUCGCGAGCGGAAGCGUUCAAGAGAACGGGGUUGAAGGAGUCGUACUCAUCGUGAUCCAAAUAACCGAUGAUCCUAGCGCCAAACGACGGCACCUCCACGUUCAACACACGUAAGGAGUGGAGACGUCUCCCAUGCCUUGAUCUAGCAAGGAGGAGGGAGAGGUUCAGGAAGAGAUCUCCAGCAGUAGCACGACCGCGUGGUGGUGAUGGAGAGGCAGUACUCCGGCAGGGCUUCGCCAAGCUUCUUCGGAGGAGGAGAGGUGUUGGGGAGGGGAGGGGUUGCGCUUUGGAGGUGUGUGUGCAGCCCUCCCCUCGCCCCUCUAUUUCUAGGGGGGAGGAAGGGGGCCGGCCCCCUCUAGAUGAGAUCUAGAGGGGGGCGGCCAAGGGGGGACUUGCCCCCAAGCAAGGGGGGCGCCCCCUUGAGGGUUUCCCCCCAACCCUAGACGCAUGGGCCCAAGGGGGGUUGCACCCAGCCCUCUAAGGGCUGGUUCCCUUCCCUCUAUGGCCCAUGAGGCCCUCCAGGAGAGGUGGCCCCUCCCGGUGGUCCCUCGGAACCCUUCCGGUGGCCCCGGUACAAUACCAGCAUGCCCCCGAACCUUUCCGAUGACCAUAUUACAACUUCCCAUAUAUAAAUCUUCACCUCCGGACCAGUCCGGAACUCCUUGUGACUUCCGGGAUCUCAUCCGGGACUCCGAACAACAUUCGGUUAUCACAUACAAGUCUUCCUAAUAACCCUAGCAUCACUGAACCUUAAGUGUGUAGACCCUACGGGUUCGGGAAUCACGCAGACAUGACCGAGACAACUCUCCGGCAAAUAACCAACAGCGGGAUCUGGAUACUCAUGUUGGCUCCCACAUGUUCCACGAUGAUCUCAUCGGAUGAACCACGAUGUCGAGGAUUCAAGCAAUCCCGUAUACAAUUCCCUUUGUCACAAGGUACGUUACUUGGCCGAGAUUCGAUCGUCGGUAUCCCAAUACCUCGUUCAAUCUCGUUUCCGGAAAGUCACGUUACUCGUUCCGUAAUGCAUGAUCCCGUGACCAACCACUUGGUCACAUUGAGCUCAUUAUGAUGAUGCAUUACCGAGUGGGCCCAGAGAUACCUCUCCGUCAUACGGAGUGACAAAUCCCAGUCUCGAUCCCUGUCAACCCAACAGACACUUUCGGAGAUACCUGUAGUAUACCUUUAUAGCCACCCAGUUACGUUGUGACGUUUGGCGCACCCAAAGCACUCCUACGGUAUCCGGGAGUUACACGAUCUCAUGGUCGAAGGAAAUGAUACUUGACAUUAGAAAAGCUCUAGCAAACGAACUACAUGAUCUUGUGCUAUGCUUAGGAUUGGGUCUUGUCCAUCACAUCAUUAUCCUAAUGAUGUGAUCCCGUUAUCAAUGACAUCCAAUGUCUAUAGUCAGGAAACCAUGACUAUCUGUUGAUCAAUGAGCUAGUCAACUAGAGGCUCACUAGGGACAUGUUGUGGUCUAUGUAUUCACACAUGUAUUAUGAUUUCCGGAUAACACAAUUAUAGCAUGAACAAUAGACAAUUAUCAUGAACAAGGAAAUAUAAUAAUAACCAUUUUAUUAUUGCCUCUAGGGCAUAUUUCCAACAGUCUCCCAUUUGCACUAGAGUGAAUAAUCUAGUUACAUUGUGAUGAAUCGAACACCCAUAGAGUUCUAGUGUUGAUCAUGUUUUGCUCGCGGAAGAGGUUUAGUCAAAGGAUCUGCGACAUUCAGAUCCGUAUGCACUUUGCAAAUAUCUAUGUCUCCAUCUUGAACAUUUUCACGAAUGGAGUUGAAGCGAUGCUUGAUAUGCCUGGUCUUCUUGUGAAACCUGGGCUCCUUGGCGAGGGCAAUGGCUCCAGUGUUGUCACAGAAGAGAGUCAUCGGCCCCGACGCAUUGGGAAUAACUCCUAGGUCGGUAAUGAACUCCUUCAUCCAGAUUGCUUCAUGUGCUACCUCCGAGGCUGCCAUGUAUUCCAUUCAAAAUAUACACGUAUCCGGUUUGUGACUUAGAGUCAUCCAGAUCUGUGUCGAAGCUAGCGUCGACGUAACCCUUUACGACGAGCUCUUCGUCACCUCCAUAAACGAGAAACAUAUCCUUAGUCCUUUUCAGGUACUUCAGGAUAUUCUUGACCGCUAUCCAGUGUUCCAUGCCGGGAUUACUUUGGUACCUUCCUACCAAACUUACGGCAAGGUUUACAUCUGGUCUGGUACACAGCAUGGCAUACAUAAUAGACCCUAUAGCCGAGGCAUAGGGGAUGACACUCAUCUUUUCUCUAUCUUCUGUCGUGGUCGGGCAUUGAGCCGAGCUCAAUUUCACACCUUGCAACACAGGUAAGAACCGCUUCUUGGACUGAUCCAUAUUGAACUUCUUCAAUAUUUUAUCAAGGUAUGUGCUUUGUGAAAGACCUAUGAGGUGUCUCGAUCUAUCUCUAUAGAUCUUCAUGCCUAAUAUAUAAGCAGCUUCUUCAAGGUCCUUCAUUGAAAAACACUUAUUCAAGUAGGCCUUAAUGUUGUCCAAAAGUUCUAUAUCAUUUCCCAUCAAAAGUAUGUCACCUACAUAUAAUAUGAGAAAUGCUACAGAGCUCCCACUCACUUUCUUGGAAACGCAGGCUUCUCCUUAAGUCUGCAUAAACCCAAACGCUUUGAUCAUUUCAUCAAAGCGAAUGUUCCAACUCUGAGAUGCUUGCAGUAGCCCAUAGAUGGAGCGCUGGAGCUUGCAUACCUUGUUAGCAUUCUUAGGAUCGACAAAACCUUCCGGCUACAUCAUAUACAAUUCUUCCUUAAGGAAGUCGUUAAGGAAUGCCGUUUUGACGUCCAUUUGCCAUAUCUCAUAAUCGUAGAAUGCGGCAAUUGCUAACAUGAUUCGGACGGACUUUAGCUUCGCUACGGGUGAGAAGGUCUCAUUGUAGUCAACCCCUUGAACUUGUCGAUAACCCAUAGCGACAAGUCGAGAUUUAUAGAUGGUAACAUUACCAUCCGUGUCCGUCUUCUUCUUAAAGAUCCAUUUGUUUUCUAUCGCUUGCAGAUCAUCGGGAAAGUCUGUCAAAGUCCAUACUUUGUUUUCAUACAUGGAUCCUAUCUCGGAUUGCAUGGCUUCUAGCCAUUUGUUGGAAUCUGGGCCCGCCAUCACUUCUUCAUAGUUCGAAGGUUCACCGUUGUCUAACAAUAUGAUUUUCAGGACAGGGUUUCCAUACCAUUCUGGUGUGGAACGUGUCCUUGUGGACCUAUGAAGUUCAGUAGUAACUUGAUCCGAUCCUCUCUAGUCGGUGCAGGCACCACAGGAACAUCUUCCUGAGCUGCGUUACUUUCCGGUUUAAGAGGCGGUACUUCAUCGAGUUCUACUUUCCUCCCACUUAUUUCUUUCGAGAGAAACUCUUUCUCCAGAAAGGACCCGUUCUUGGCAACAAAGAUCUUGCCUUCAGAUCUUAGGUAGAAGGUAUACCCAAUGGUUUCCUUAGGGUAUCCUAUGAAGACGCAUUUUUCCAACUUGGGUUUGAGCUUUUGAGGUUGAAGUUUCUUGACAUAAGCAUCGCAUCCCCAAACUUUUAGAAACGACAGCUUAGGUUUCUUUCCAAACCAUAAUUCAUACGGUGUCGUCUCAACGGAUUUAGACGGUGCCCUAUUUAAAGUGAAUGUAGCUGUCUCUAAAGCGUAUCCCCAAAAUGAUAGCGGUAAAUCAGUAAGAGACAUCAUAGACCGCACCAUAUCCAAUAUAGUGCGAUUACGACGUUCAGACACACCAUUACGCUGAGGUGUUCCAGGCGGCGUGAGUUGUGAAACAAUUCCACAUUUCCUUAAGUGUGUCCCAAACUCAUGACUUAUAUAUUCUCCCCCACGAUCUGAUUGUAAGAACUUUAUUUUUCUGUCACAUUGAUUUUCUACCUCAUUCUGAAAUUCCUUGAACUUUUCAAAGGUCUCAGACUUGUGUUUCAUUAAAUAGACAUACCCAUAUCUACUUAAGUCAUCAGUGAGGGUGAGAACAUAACGAUAGCCACCGCGAGCCUCAACGCUCAUUGGACCGCACACAUCAGUAUGUAUAAUUUGUUUGAAAUAUGCCCUAGAGGCAAUAAUAAAAUGGUUAUUAUUAUAUUUCUUUGUUCAUGAUAAUUGUCUGUUAUUCAUGCUAUAUUUGUAUUAUUCGGAAAUCGUAAUACACGUGUUAAUACAUAGACCACAACAUGUCCCUAGUGAGCCUCUAGUUGACUAGCUCGUUGAUCAACAGAUAGUCAUGGUUUCCUGACUAUGGACAUUGGAUGUCAUUGAUAACGGGAUCACAUCAUUAGGAGAAUGAUGUGAUGGACAAGACCCAAUCCUAAGCAUAGCUUAAAGAUCGUGUAGUUCGUUUAGCUAGAGCUUUUCCAAAUGUCAAGUAUCAUUUCCUUAGACCAUGAGAUUGUGCAACUCCCGGAUACCAUAGGAGUGCUUUGGGUGUGCCAAACGUCACAACGUAACUGGGUGACUAUAAAGGUGCACCACGGCUAUCUCCGAAAGUGUCUGUUGGGUUGGCACAAAUCGAGCCUGGGAUUUGUCACUCCGCAUGACGGAGAGAUAUCUCUGGGCCCACUUGGUAAUGCAUCAUCAUAAUGAGCUCAAUGUGACCAAGUGUCUGGUCACGGGAUCAUGCAUUACAGUAUGAGGAAAGUGACUUGCCGAUAAUGAGAUUAAACGAGGUAUUGGGAUACCAACGAUCGAGUCUCGGGCAAGUAACGUAACGAUUGACAAAGGGAAUUGUAUACAGGGUUGAUUGAAUCCUCAAUAUCGUGGUUCAUCCGAUGAGAUCAUCGAGGAGCAUGUGGGAGCCAACAUGGGUAUCCAUAUCCCGCUGUUGGUUAUUGACCGGAGAGGCGUCUCGGUCAUGUCUGCAUGUCUCCCGAACCCGUAGGGUCUACACACUUAAGGUUCGGUGACGCUAGGGUUGUAGAGAUAUGAGUAUGCAGUAAACUGAAAGUUGUUCGGAGUCCCGGAUGAGAUCCCGGACGUCAUGAAGAGUUCCGGAAUGGUCCGGAGGUAAAGAAUUAUAUAUAGGAAGUCAGGUUUCGGCCAUCGGGAAAAUUUCGGGGGUCACCAGUAUUGUACCAGGACCACCGGAAGGGUCCCGGGGGUCCACCGGGUGGGGCCACCUAUCCCGGAGGGCCCCAUGGGCUGAAGUGGGAGGGGAACCAGACCCUAGUGGGCUAGUGCGCCCCGCCUUGGGCCCCGCCUGCGCCUAGGGUUGGAAACCCUAGGGGUGGGGGGCGCCUCCACUUGCCUUGGGGGGCAAGGCACCCCCCUUGGCCGCCGCCCCCCCUAUGAGAUCCCAUCUCCUAGUGCCGGCGCCCCCCUAGGGGCCCUAUAUAAAGCGGGGGAGGGAGGGCAGCCGCACCCUUGUACUUGGCGCCUCCCUUCCCCCUUGCUACACCUCUCCCUCUCGCGGACGCUUGGCGAAGCCCUGCCGAGAUCACUGCUGCAUCCACCACCACGCCAUCGUGCUGCUGGAUCUUCAUCAACCUCUCCUUUCCCCUUGCUAGAUCAAGAAGGAGGACACGUCUCACUAACCGUACGUGUGUUGAACGCGGAGGUACCGUCUGUUCGGCGCUAGGAUCUCCGGUGAUUUGGAUCACGACGAGUACAACUCCCUCAACCCCAUUCUCUUGAACGCUUCCGCUCGAUCUACAAGGUUAUGUAGAUGCACUCCUCUCUAUUGUUUCUAGAUGAAAUCAUAGAUUGAUCUUGGUGAAACCGUAGGAAAUUUUUUAUUUUCUGCAACGUUCCCCAACAGUGGCAUCAUGAGCUAGGUCUAUGCGUAGUUCUCUUUGCACGAGUAGAACACAAAUCUGUUGUGGGCGUUGAUGUUGUCAACUUUCUUUCCAUUACUAGUCUUAUUUUGCUUCAGCAGUAUUGUGGGAUGAAGCGGCCCGGACCGACCUUACAUGUACGCUUACGUGAGACAGGUUCCAUCGACUGGCAUGCACUUGUCGCUUUAUUUAAGGAAAUAAAACACUAUGUAAUUGAUUUACUUUAUCACUAAGUGGUAGCGAUAGUCGUAGAAGAAAUGGUUGGCGAGACGAUCACGACGCUACGAUGGAGAUGAAGGUGUCAAGCCGGUGACGAUGGAGAUCAUGACGUUACUUUGGUGAUGGAGAUCAUGAGCACAAGAAGAUGAUGGCCAUUUCAUGUCACAUAUUUUGAUUGCAUGUGAUGUUUAUUUUUUAUGCAUCUUAUUUUGCUUAGUACGGCGGUAGCAUUAUAAGAUGACCCCUUACUAAAUUUCAAGGUAUAAGUGUUCUCCCUCAGUAUGCACCGUUGCGAAAGUUUUUCGUGCUGGGACACCACGUGAUGAUCGGGAGUGAUAGGCUCUACAUUCAAAUACAACAGGUGCAAGCCAGAUUUGCACACGCGGAAUACUCGGGUUAAACUUGACGAGCCUAGCAUAUUCAGAUAUGGCCUUGGAACACUGAAGACCGAAAGGUCGAACGUGAAUCAUAUAGUAGAUAUGAUCAACAUAGUGAUGUUCACCAUUGAAGACUACUCCAUCUCACGUGAUGAUCGAACAUGGUUUAGUUUAUUUGGAUCACGUAUCAUUUAGAGGACUAGAGGGACGUCUAUCUAAGUGGGAGUUCUUAAGUAAUAUGAUUAAUUGAACUUAAUUUAUCAUGAACUUAGUCCUGAUAGUUUUUUUGCAUAUCUAUGUUGUAGAUCAAUGGCAUGUGCUGCCGUUCCUUUGAAUUUUAAUGCGUUCCUAGAGAAAGCUAAGUUGAAAGAUGAUGGCAGCAACUACACGGAAUGGGUUCGUAACUUGAGGAUUAUCCUCAUUGCAGCACAAAAGAAUUAUGUCCUUGAUGCACCUCUCGGUGCAAGGCCUGCUGCAGGAGCAGAAGUUGACGUUGUGAACGCCUGGCAAGCUCGAUCUGAUUACUACUCGUUAGUUCAGUGUGCCAUGAUUUAUGGCUUAGAAUCGGGACUUCUAAGACAUUUUGAACGUCAUGGACCAUAUGAGAUGUUCCAGGAGUUGAAGUUAAUAUUUCAAGCAAAUGCCCGAGUUGAGAGAUAUGAAGUCUCCAACAAGUUCUAUAGCUGCAAGAUGGAGGAGAAAAGUUAUGUUAGUGAGCUCAUACUCAGAAUGUCUGGGUACCAUAAUCACUUGACUCAGCUGGGAGUUAAUCUUCCAGAUGAUGGUGUCAUUGACAUAUUUCUUCAACCACCGCCACCAAGCUACAAAGGCUUCAUGAUGAACUACAGUAUGCAAGGGAUGGAAAAGACUAUUCCGGAGCUCUUCGCGAUGCAAAAGGCCGCUGAGGUAGAAAUCAAGAAGGAGCAUCAAGUGUUGAUGUUUAACAAGACCACUAGUUUAAAAAAAGUGCAAGGGUAAAAAGAAGGGGAACUUCAAAAAGAUUGACAAGCAAGUUGUCACUCCCGGGAAGAAACCUAAAAAUUGUUCCGAGCCUGAAACCGAGUGCUUCUACUGCAAAGGGACUGGUCACUUGAAGUGGAACUGCACCAAGUAUUUGGCGGAUAAGAAGGAUGGCAAGGUGAACAAAGGUAUAUUUGAUAUACAUGUUGUUGAUGUGUACCUUACUAAUUCUCGUAGUAGUGCCUGGGUAUUUGAUACUAGUUCAGUUGCUCAUAUAUGUAGCUUGAAGCCAGGACUAUGGAUUAAACAAAUAUUGGCUAAGGACGAGGUGACGAUGCGCGUCGGAAAUGGUUCCAAGGUUCAUGUGAUCACCGUCGGCACGCUACCUCUACAUCUACCUUUGGGAUUAGUUUUAGACCUGAAUAAUUGUUAUUUGGUGCUAGUGUUGAGCAUGAAAAUUAUAUCUAGAUCUUGUUUAGCGAGACGGUUAUUCAUUUAAAUCAGAGAAUAAUGGUUGUUCUAUCUAUAUGAGUAUCUUUUAUGGUCAUGCACCCUUGAAGAGUGGUCUAUUUCUGUUGAAUCUUGAACGUGAUGAUACACAUAUUCAUAAUAUUGAUGCCAAAAGAUGCAAAGUUGAUAAUGAUAGUGCAACUUAUUUGUGCACUGCCGUCUAGGUCAUAUCGGUUUAAAAUGCAUGAAGAAACUCUCCAUAAAGAUGGGCUUUUGGAAUCACUUGAUUAUGAAUCAUUUGAUACUUGCAAACCGUCCUUUAUGGGCAAGAUGACUAAAACUCCGUUCUCCGGUACAAUGGAAAAAGCUAGUGACUUAUUGGAACUAAUACAUACCGAUGUAUGCGGUCCAAUUAGUGUUGAUGCUCGUGGCGGGUAUUGUUAUUUUCUGACCUUCAUAGAUGUUUUAAGUAGAUAUGGGUAUAUCUACUUCAUGAAAUACAAGUCUGAAACAUUUGAAAAGUUCAAAGAAUUUCAGAGUGAAGUGGAGAAUCAUCGUAACAAGAAAAUAAAUUUUCUACGAUCUGAUCGUGGAGGAGAAUAUUUGAGUUACGAGUUUGGCCUUCAUUUAAAACAAUGUGGAAUAGUUUCACAGCUCACGCCACCUGGAACACCACAACAUAAUGGUGUGUUCGAACGUCGUAACCGCACUUUAUUGGAUAUGGUGCGAUCUAUGAUGUCUCUUACCGAUUUACCACUAUCGCUUUUGGGUUAUGCAUUAUAUAGAGCUACAUUCACUUUAAACAGGGCACCGUCAAAAUCCGUUGAAAUGACACCGUAUGAACUGUUGUUUGGCAACAAACCUAAGUUGUCGUUUCUUAAAGUUUGGGGAUGCGAUGCUUAUGUCAAACGGCUUCAGCCCGAUAAGCUCGAACCCAAGUCAGAGAAAUGUGUCUUCAUAGGAUACCCUAAGGAAACAAUUGGGUACGCCUUCUACCACAAGUCCGAAGGCAAGAUUUUUGUUGCUAAGACGGAACCUUUCUAGAGAAGGAGUUUCUCUCGAAAGAAGUGAGUGGGAGGAAAGUAGAACUUGAUGAGGUAAUUGUACCUGCUCUCAAUUUGGAAAGUAGCUCAUCCAAGAAAACUGUUCCCGUGAUGCCUACACCAACUAGAGAGGAAGUUAAUGAUAAAGAUCAUGAAACUACAGAUCAAGUUGCUACAAAACCUCGUAGGUCUGGCAGAUCACGAUCCGCACCAGAGUGGAAUGGUAAUCCUGUUCUGAAAGUCAUGUUACUUGACCAUGACGAACAUAUGAACUAUAAAGAAGCUAUGAUGAGACCAUAUUCCGAUAAAUGGCUUGAGGCCAUGAAAUCUGAGAUAGGAUCCAUGUAUGAGAAAAAGUGUGGACUUUCGUGGAUCUGCACGAUGAUCGAAGACCCAUAGAGAAUAAAUGGAUCUUCAAGAAGAAGACUGACGCUGAUGGUAAUGUCACUAUCUAUAAAGCAUGACUUGUUGCAAAAGGUUUUUGACAAGUUCAAGGAGUUGACUACGAUGAGACGUUCUCAACCGUAGAGAUGCUUAAGUCUGUUCGAAUCAUGUUAGCAAUUGCCGCAUUUUAUGAUUAUGAAAUCUGACAAAUGGAUGUCAAAACUGCAUUCCUUAAUGGAUUUCUUAAAGAAGAGUUGUACAUGAUGCAACCAGAAGGUAUUGUCGAUCCUAAAGGUGCUAACAAAGUGUGCAAGCUCCAGCGAUCCAUUUAUGGACUGGUGCAAGCAUCUUGGAGUUGGAAUAUACGCUUCAAUGAGGUGAUCAAAGCAUAUGGUUUUAUACAAACUUUUGGAGAAGCCUGUAUUUACAAGAAAGUGAGUGGGAGCUCUAUAGAAUUUCUAAUAUUAUAUGUGGAUGACAUAUUGUUGAUCGGAAAUGAUGUAGAAUUUUUGGAUAGCAUAAUACUCCCUCUGUCUGAAAAUACUUGUCGGAGGAAUGCAUGCAUCUAGACGUAUUUUAGUUCUAGAUACAUCCAUUUUUAUGCAUUUCUCCGACAAGUAUUUUCGGACGGAGGGAGUAGGAUACUUGAACAAGAGUUUUUCAAUGAAAGACCUCGGGGAAGCUGCUUACAUAUUGGGCAUCAAGAUCUAUAGAGAUAGAUCAAGAUGCUUGAUAGGACUUUCACAAAGCACAUACCUUGGUAAAGUUUUGAAAAAGUUCAAAGUGGAUCAGUCAAAGAAAGGAUUCUUGCCUGUGUUACAAGCUGUGAAAUUGAGUUAGACUCAAUGCCCGACCACUGCAGAAGAUAGAGAGAAAAUGAAAGUCAUUCCCUAUGCUUCAGCCAUAGAUUCUACCAAGUAUGCUAUGAUGUAUACCAGACCUGAUGUGUGCCUUGCUAUAAGUUUAGCAGGGAGGUACCAAAGUAAUCUAGGAGUAGAACACUGGACAAUGGUCAAGAACUUCCUAAAGUACCUGAAGAGGACUAGGGAUAUGUUUCUCAUUUGUGGAGGUGACAAAGAGCUUGUCAUAAAUGGUUGCGUCAACGCUAGCUUUGACAUUGAUCCGGAUGACUCUCAGUCACAAUCCGGAUGCGUAUUUUUAUUGAAUGGUGGAGUUGUCGGUUUUUUCAAGCAGAGUGUCGUGGUAGGAUCUAUGUGUGAAGCGGAGUACAUAGAGUCUUCGGAAGCAGCAAAUGAAGGAGUCUGGAUGAAGAAGUUCAUAUCCGAUCUAGGUGUAAUACCUAGUGCAUCGGGUCCAAUGAAAAUCUUUUGUCACAAUACCAGAGCAAUUGCCUUGGCGAAGGAAUCCAGAUAUCACAAAAAGACCAAACACAUCAAGAGACGCUUCAACUCCAUCCGAGAUUUGGUCAAGGAGGAAGACAUAGAGAUUUAUAAUAUACAUACGGAUCUGACUGUUGCAGACCCGUUGACUAAGCCUCUUCCACGAGCAAAACAUGAUCAACACCAAGACUCCAUGAGUGUUAGAUUCAAUAUAAUGUGGAUUAUUGACUCUAGUGCAAGUGGGAGACCGAAGGAAAUAUGCCCUAGAGGCAAUAAUAAAGUUGUAUUUUAUAUUUACUUAUUCCUGAUAAAUGUUUAUUAUUCAUGAUAGAAUUGUAUUAACCAGAAACUUGGUACAUGUGUGGAUACAUAGACAAAACAAUGUGUCCCUAGUAUGCCUCUACUAGACUAGCUCGUUGAUCAAAAGAUGGUUAAGUUUCCUAGCCAUAGACAUGAGUUGUCAUUUGAUAACGGGAUCACAUCAUUAGUAGAAUGAUGUGAUGGACAAGACCCAUCCGUUAGCUUAGCAUAAUGAUUGUUCAGUUUUAUUGCUACAACUUUGUUCGUGUCAAAUAUAUAUUCCUCCGACUAUGAGAUUAUGCAACUCUCGGACACCGGAGGAAUGCCUUGUGUGCUAUCAAACAUCACAACAUAAUUGAGUGAUUAUAAAAAUGCUCUACAGGUAUCUCCAAAGGUGUUUGUUGGGUUGGCAUAGAUCGAGAUUAGGAUUUUUCACUCCGAGUAUCGGAUAGGUAUCUCUGGGCCCUCUCGGUAAUGCACAUCAUAUGAAGCCUUGCAAGCAAUGUGACUAAUGAGUUAGUUACGAGAUGAUGCACUACGGAACGAGCAAAGAAACUUGCAUGUAACGAGAUUGAACUAGGUAUGAAGAUACAGACGAUCGAAUCUUGGGCAAGUAACAUAACAAUGACAAAGGGAAUAACUAUAUUGACAUUGCAAUUCGACCAAUAAAGAUCUUCAUAGAAUAUGUGGGAACCAAUAUGAGCAUCUAGGUUCUGCUACUGCUUAUUGACUGGAGAGGUGUCUCGGUCAUGUCUACAUAGUUCUCGAACCCGUAGGGUCUACACGCUUAACAUUCGCUGACGGUUGGUAUUAUAUGAGUUAUGUGUUUUUGUGACCGAAGGUUGUUGGGGGUCCCGGAUGAGAUCACAGACAUGACGAGGUGACUCGAAAGGGUCGAGAUAUGAAGAUUGAUAUAUUGGAUGGUUACAUUCGGAUACCGGAAUGGUUUCGGGAAGUUUCGGAUAAUUUUCGGANNNNNNNNNNNNNNNNNNNNNNNNNNNNNNNNNNNNNNNNNNNNNNNNNNNNNNNNNNNNNNNNNNNNNNNNNNNNNNNNNNNNNNNNNNNNNNNNNNNNNNNNNNNNNNNNNNNNNNNNNNNNNNNNNNNNNNNNNNNNNNNNNNNNNNNNNNNNNNNNNNNNNNNNNNNNNNNNNNNNNNNNNNNNNNNNNNNNNNNNNNNNNNNNNNNNNNNNNNNNNNNNNNNNNNNNNNNNNNNNNNNNNNNNNNNNNNNNNNNNNNNNCCCUCUCCUUCUCCCUUUCCCUUUCCCCCAUUGCUACCCCAGAAAAAAGGAAAAGGGGGGGGGGCGAAUCCUACUAGUAGUGGAGUCCUGGUAGGACUCCCCCCCUUGGCGCACGCCCCUGGUGGCCGGCCUCCUCCUCCCUCCUUUAUAUACGGGGGCAGGCGGCACCCCAAAGGCACAACAUUAUCUUAGUCGUGUGCGGUGCCCUCCUCCACCGUUUACUCUUCCGAUAGUAUCAUCAUAGUGCUUAGGCAAAGCCCUGCACGGAUCACAUCAACAACACCGUCAUCACGCCAUCGUGCUGACGGAACUCAUCGACUCCAUCGACACUCUGCUCAAUCAAGAGAUCAAGGGAUGUCAUCGAUCUUAACGUGUGUAGAACUCGGAUGUGUCGUACGUUCGGUCCUUGAUCGGUUGAUUCGAGAAGACAUUCGACUACAUCAACUGCGUUAAGUUAACGCUUCCACUUUCUGUCUAUGAGGGUACGUGGACACACUCUCCCCCUCUCAUUUCUAAGCAUGUCCUAGAUAGAUCUUGCGUGAGCGUAGGAAUUUUUUUGAAAUAGCAUGCUACAUUUCCUAACAAUUUGCUCCUUUACCGGAUCUCUAAAGGGACUAAUCAAUGAUGUUUGGCUGACCCUAAAGUGCAUGGAGCAAGUAUGAAUGAACUCAACACUUUCAUGAUCUAAGGAAUUGUGUAAACGUUUAACUUUCUGGUAUUAUCUGUUGGGGAACAUAGCAGAAAUUCAAAAUUUUCCUACGAUUCACCAAGAUCUAUCUAUGGAGAAACUAGCAACGAGGGGAAGGACAGUGCAUCUACAUACCCUUGUAGAUCCCUAAGCGGAAGCGUUCAAGAGAACGGGGUUGAUGGACUCGUACUCGUCGUGAUCCAAAUCACCGAUGAUCCUAGCGCCGAAUGGAUGGCACCUCUGCGUUCAACACACAUACCAUUGGGAGAGACAUCUCCUCCUUCUUGAUCCAGCAAGGGGAUGAGAGGUUGAUGGAGAUCCAGCAGCACGACGGUGUGGUGGUGGAAGUAGCGGGAUCCCGGCAGGGCUUCGCCAAGCGCAAGCGGGGAGGAAGAGGUGUCACGGGAGAGAGGGAGGCGCCAGGGACUCAGGUGCGGCUGACCUCCCUCCCCUCCACUAUAUAUAGGGGCCUAGGGGGCGCCGGCCCCUUGUAGAUCCCAUCUAGGGAGGGUGGCGGCGGCCCUAGGGGUGGCUUGGCCUCCAAGACAGGUGGAGGCGCCGCCACCCCUUAGGGUUUCUAACCCUAGGCGCAUGGGAGGCCUAAGGGGGGUGAACCAGCCCACCAGGGGCUGGUUUCCACGCCCCCUCAGCCUAUGGAUCCCUCGGGAUAGGUGGCCCCACCCGGUGGACCCCCGGGACCCUUCCGGUGGUCCCGGUACAAUACCGAUGACCUCCGAAACUUUCCCGGUGGCCGAAACUGGACUUCCUAUAUAUAAAUCUUUACCUCCAGACCACUCCGGAACUCCUCGUGACGUCCGGGAUCUCAUCCGGGACUUCGAACAACAUUAGGGUUACCGCAUACUAUUAUCUCUACAACCCUAGUCUCACCGAACCUUAAGUGUGUAGACCCUACGGGUUCGGGAACCAUGGAGACAUGACCGAGACGUUCUCCGGUCAAUAACUAACAGCGGGAUCUGGAUACCCAUGUUGGCUCCCACAUGUUCCACGAUGAUCUCAUCGGAUGAACCACGAUGUCAAGGACUCAAUCAAUCCCGUAUACAAUUCCCUUUGUCAAGCGGUAUUGUACUUGCCCGAGAUUCGAUCGUCGGUAUCCCGAUACCUUGUUCAAUCUCGUUACCGGCAAGUCUCUUUACUUGUUCCGUAACACAUCAUCCUGUGAUCAACCCCUUGGUCACAUUGUGCACAUUAUGAUGAUGUCCUACCGAGUGGGCCCAGAGAUACCUCUCCGUCAACCGGAGUAGCAAAUCCCAGUCUCGAUUCGUGCCAACCCAACAGACACUUUCGGAGAUACCUGUAGUGCACCUUUAUAGCCACCCAGUUACAUUGUGACUUUUGGUACACCCAAAGCAUUCCUACGGUAUCCGGGAGUUGCACAAUCUCAUGGUCUAAGGAAAUGAUACUUGACAUUAGAAAAGCUUUAGCAUACGAACUACACGAUCUUUGUGCUAGGCUUAGGAUUGGGUCUUGUCCAUCACAUCAUUCUCCUAAUGAUGUGAUCUCGUUAUCAACGACAUCCAAUGUCCAUGGUCAGGAAACCGUAACCAUCUAUUGAUCAACGAGCUAGUCUCAUAGAGGCUUACUAGGGACAUGGUGUUGUCUAUGUACCCACACAUGUAUCUGAGUUUCCUAUCAAUACAAUUAUAGCAUGGACGAUAAACGAUUAUCAUGAACAAGGAAAUAUGAUAAUAACAACUAAUUUAUUAUUGCCUCUAGGGCAUAUUUCCAAUAGUCUCCCACUUGCACAAGAGUCAAUAAUCUAGUUCACAUCACCAUGUGAUUAACAUUGAUAGGUCACAUCGCCAUGUGACCAACAUCCAAAGAGUUUACUAGUGUCUAAACUAGUUCACAUCACCAUGUGAUUAAGACUCAAUGUGUUCUGGGGUUUGAUCAUGUUUUGCUUGUGAGAGAGGUUUUAGUCAACGGGUCUGCAACAUUCAGAUCCGUAUGUAUUUCACAAUUCUCUAUGUCAUAUUGUAAAUGAUGCUUCCACGCUCCACUUGGAGCUAUUCCAAAUGGUUGCUCCACUAUACGUAUCCGAUUUGCUACUCAGAGUCAUUCGGAUAGGUGUUAAAGCUUGCAUCGACGUAACCCUUUACGCCGAACUCUUUAUCACCUCCAUAAUCGAGAAACAUGUCCUUAUUUACUCCAAGGACAAUUUUGACCGCUGUCCAAUGAUCCACUCCUGGAUCAUUCUUGUACCCCUUGACUGACUCAUGGCAAGGCACACUUCCGGUGCGGUACACAACAUAGCAUACUAUAGAGCCUACGUCUGAAGCAUAGGGGACGACCUUCGUCCUUUCUCUCUCUUCUGCCGUGGUCGAGCUUUAACUCUUAACUUCAUACCUUACAACUCAGGCAAGAACUCCUUCUUUGACUGAUCCAUCUUGAACACCUUCAAUAUCAUGUCAAGGUAUGUGCUCAUUUGAAAGUACCAUUUAGCAUUUUUUUGAUCUAUCCUCAUAGAUCUUGAUGCUCAAUGUUCAAGCAGCUUAUUCCAGGUUUUCUAUUGAAAAACACCUUUCAAAUAACCCUAUAUGCUUUCCAGAAAUUCUACAUCACUUCUGAUCAACAAUAUGUCAACAACAUAUACUCAUCAGAAAUUCUAUAGUGCUCCCACUCACUUCUUUGGAAAUACAAAUUUCUCAUAAACUUUGUAUAAACCCAAAAUCUUUGAUCAUCUCAUCAAAGUGUACAUUCCAACUACGAGAUGCUUACUCCAGUCCUUAGAAGGACUGCUAGAGAUUUGCAUACUUGUUAGCGUCUUUCAGGAUUGUCAAAACCUUCUGGUUGUAUCACAUACAACCUUUCCUCAAGAAAAAUGUCAAGGAAACAAUGUUUUUGACAUCCUAUAUGCAAGAUUUCAUAAAUAAUGCAGUAACUGCUAAUCCAAUUCCAACAGACUCUUAGCAUCACUACGAGUGAGAAAGCCUCACCGUAGUCAACUCCUUGAACUUGUCGGAAAACAUCUUUACGACAAGUCGAGCUUUCUUAAUGGUGAUACUUACCAUCAUCGUUUGUCUUCCUUUUAAAAUCCAUCUGUACCCAACGGCCUUACGACCAUCAAGUAUUUCUUCCAAAGUCAUGGAUCCUUUCUCGGAUUUUAUGGCCUCGAGCCAUUCGUCGGAAUCCGGGCCCACCAUCGCUUCUCCAUAGUUCGUAGGUUCAUUGUUGUCUAGCAACAUGACCUCCAAGACAGGAUUACGUACUACUCUGAAGCAGUACGCAUCCUCGUCGACCUACGAGGUUUGGUAGUGACUUGAUCCGAAGUUUCAUGAUCACUAUCAUAAGCUUCUACUUCAAUUGGUGUAGGUGCCACAGGAACAACUUCCUAUGCCCUGCUACACACUAGUUGAAGUGAUGGUUCAACAACCUCAUCAAGUCUCCACCAUCCUCCCACUCAAUUCUUUCGAGACAAACUUUUCCUCGAGAAAGGACCCAUUUCUAGAAACAAUUAUUUUUGCUUCCGGAUCUGAGAUAGGAGGUAUACCCAGCUGUUUUGGGUGUCCUAUGAAGAUGCAUUUUUAUCCGCUUUGGGUUCGAGCUUAUCAACCUGAAAACUUUCACAUAAGCGUCGCAGCCCCAAGCUUUUAAGAAACGACAACUUAGGUUUCUCCAAACCAUAGUUCAAACGGUGUCGUCUCAACGGAAUUACGUGGUGCCCUAUUAAAGUGAGUGCGGUUGUCUCUAAUGCCUAACCCAUGAAUGAUAGUGGUAAUUCGAUAAAAGACAUCAUGGUACGCACCAUAUAUAUCCAAUAGGGUGCAACUAUGAUGUUCGGACACACCAUCACACUAUGGUGUUCCAGGCGGUAUUAAUUGUGAAACAAUUUCCAUAAUGUCUUAAUUUCGCGCCAAAGCUCGUAACUCGGAUACUCAUCUCUAUGAUCAUAUCAUAGACAUUUUAUCCUCUUGUCACGAUGAUCUUCAACUUCACUCUGAAAUUACUUGAACUAUUCAAUAAUUUAGGCUUGUGUUUCAUCAAGUAAAUAUACUUAGUAUCUACUCAAAUCAUCCGUGAAGUAAGAACAUAACAAUAUACACUGCGUGCCUCAGCACUCAUUGGACUGCACACAUCAAAAUGUAUUACUUCCAACAAGUUGCUUUCUUGUUCCAUUUUACUGAAAACGAGGCUUUCAAUCAUCUUGCCCAUGUGGUAUGAUUUGCAUGUCUCAAGUGAUUCAAAAUCAAGUGAGUCCAAAUGGUCCAUUUGCAUGGAGUUUCUUCAUGCAUAUACACCAAUAGACAUGGUUCGCAUGUCUCAAACUUUUCAAAAACGAGUGAGUCCAAAGAUCCAUCAACAUGGAGCUUCUUCAUGCGUUUUAUACCAAUAUGACUUACAUGGCAGUGCCACAAGUAGGUGGUACUAUCAUUACUAUCUUAUAUCUUUUGGCAUGAACAUGUGUAUCACUACGAUCGAGAUUCAAUAAACCAUUCAUUUUAGGUGCAAGACUAUUGAAGGUAUUAUUCAAAUAAAUAGAGUAACCAUUAUUCUCCUUAAAUGAAUAACCGUAUUGCGAUAGACAUAAUCCAAUCAUGUCUAUGCUCAACGCAAACACCAAAUAACAAUUAUUUAGGUUUUAACACCAAUCUCGAUGGUAGAGGGAGCGUGCGAUGCUUGAUCACAUCAACCUUGGAAACACUUCCAACACAUAUCGUCAGCUCACCUUUAGCUAGUCUCCGUUUAUUCCGUAGCUUUUAUUUCGAGUUACUAACACUUAGCAACCGAACCGGUAUCUAAUACCCUGGUGCUACUAGGAGUACUAGUAAAGUACACAUUACCAUAAUGUAUAUCCAAUAUACUUCCGUCGACCUUGCCUGCCUUCUUAUCUACCAAGUAUCUAGGGUGGUUCUGCUUUAGUGUUCGUUCCUCUCAUUACAGAAGCACUUAGUCUCGGGUUCGGGUUCAACCUUGGGUUUUCACUAGAGCAGCAACUGUUUUGCCGUUUCAUGAAGUAUCCCUUCUUGCCCUUGCCCUUCUUGAAACUAGUGGUUUUACUAACCAUCAACAAUUGACGCUCCUACAUGACUUCUACUUUCGCGGUGUCAAACAUCGCGAAUACUUCAAGGAUCAUCGUGUCUAUCCCUGAUAUGUUAUAGUUCAUCACGAAGCUCUAGCAGCUUGGUGGCAAUGACUUUGGAGAAACAUCACUAUCUCAUCUGGAAGAUCAACGCCCACUCGAUUAAAGUGAUUGUUGUACUCAGACAAUCUGAGCACAAGCUCAAAGAUUGAGCUUUUCCUCCCUUAGUUUGCAGGCUAAGAAAAUCGUCGGAGGUCUUAUACCUCUUGACGUGGGUACGAGCCUGAAAUCCCAAUUUCAGCCCUCGAAACAUCUCAUAUGUUCCGCGACAUUUCGAAAACGUCUUUGGUGCCUCUACUCUAAACCAUUUAACUAAACUAUCACGUAGUUAUCAAAACGUGUAUGUCAGAUGUUCGCAACAUCCACAGACUACGUUUGAGGUCCAGCACACCGAGCGGUGCAUUAAGGACAUAAGCCUUCUACGAAGCAACGAGGACAAUCCUCAGUUCACGGACCCAAUCCGCAUAAUUGCUACUAUCAACUUUCAACUAUAUUUUUCUCUAGGAACAUAUCUAAAAAGAGUAGAACUAAAGCGUGAGCUACGACAUAAUUUGCAAAAACCUUUUGACUAUGUUCAGGAUAAUUAAGUUCAUCUUAUGAACUCCCACUCAGAUAGACAUCCCUCUAGUUAUCUAAGUGAUUACAUGAUCCGAGUCAACUAGGCCGUGUUCGAUCAUCACGUGAGACGGACUAGUCAUCAUCGGUGGACAUCUUCAUGUUGAUCGUAUCCACUAUACGACUCAUACUCGACCUUUCGGUCUCUUGUGUUCCGAGGCCAUGUCUGUACAUGCUAGGCUCGUCAAGUCAACCUAAGUGUUUCGCGUGUGUAAAUCUGGCUUACACCCGUUGUAUGUGAACGUUAGAAUCUAUCACACCCGAUCAUCACGUGGUGCUUCGAAACGACGAACUUUCGCAACGGUGCACAGUUAGGGGGAACACUUUCUUGAAAUUUUAAUGAGGGAUCAUCUUAUUUACUACCGUCGUUCUAAGCAAAUAAGAUGUAUAAACAUGAUAAACAUCACAUGCAAUCAAAUAGUGACAUGAUAUGGCCAAUAUCAUAUUGCUCCUUUUGAUCUCCAUCUUCGGGGCUCCAUGAUCAUCAUCGUCACCGGCAUGACACCAUGAUCUCCAUCAUCAUGAUCUCCAAUAUCGUGUCUUCAUGAAGUUGUCUCGCCAACCAUUACUUCUACUACUAUGGCUAACGGUUUUAGCGAUAAAGUAAAGUAAUUACAUGGCAUUAUUCAAUGACACGCAGGUCAUACAAUAAAUUAAGACAACUCCUAUGGCUCCUGCCGGUUGUCAUACUCAUCGACAUGCAAGUCGUGAUUCCUUUUACAAGAACAUGAUCAAUCUCAUACAUCACAUAUCAUUCAUCACAUUCUUUUUUGGCCAUAGCACAUCACAUAGCAUACCCUGCAAAAACAAGUUAGACGUCCUCUAAUUGUUGUUUGCAUGUUUUACGUGGCUGUUAUGGGUUUCUAGGAAGAACGUUUCUUACCUACGCAAAAACCACAACGUGAUAUGUCAAUUGCUAUUUACCCUUCAUAAGGACCCUUUUCAUCGAAUCCGAUCUGACUAAAGUGGGAGAGACUGGCACCCGCUAGCCACCUUAUGCAAUAAGUGCAUGUCAGUCGGUGGAACCUAUCUCACGUAAGAGUACGUGUAAGGUCGGUCCGGGCCGCUUCAUCCCACAAUACCGUCGAAACAAGAUUGGACUAGUAACAGUAAGCAUAUUGAACAAAAUCAACGCCCACAACUACUUUGUGUUCUACUCAUGCAUAGAAUCUACGCAAUAGACCUAGCUCAUGAUGCCACUGUUGGGGAACGUAGCAGAAAUUCAAAAUUUUCCUACGAGUCACCAAGAUCUAUCUAUUGAGAAACUAGCAACGAGGGGAAGGAGAGUGCAUCUACAUACCCUUGUAGAUCGCUAAACAGAAGCGUUCAAGAGAACGGGGUUGAUGGAGUCGUACUCGUCGUGAUCCAAAUCACCGAUGAACCUAGCGCCGAACGGACACCUCUGCGUUCAACACACAUACGGGUGGGAGAGACAUCUCCUCCUUCUUGAUCCAGCAAGGGGAGGAGAGGUUGAUGGAGAUCCAGCAGCACGACGGCGUGGUGGUGGAAGUAGCGGGAUCCCGGCAGGGCUUCGCCAAGCGCAAGCGGGGAGGAAGAGGUGUCAUGGGAGAGAGGGAGGCGCCAGGGACUCAGGUGCGGCUGACCUCCCUCCCCUCCACUAUAUAUAGGGGCCUAGGGGGGCGCCGGCCCCUUGUAGAUCCCAUCUAGGUAGGGGGGCGGUGGCCCUAGGGGUGGCUUGGCCUCCAAGACAGGUGGAGGCGCCCCCACCCCUUAGGGUUUCUAACCCUAGGCGCAUGGGAGGCCCAAGGGGGGCGCACCAGCCCACCAGGGGCUGGUUCCCACGCCCCCUCAGCCUAUGGAGCCCUCCAGGAUAGGUGGCCCCACCCGGUGGACCCCCGGGACCCUUCCGGUGGUCCUGGUACAAUACCGAUGACCCCCGAAACUUUCCCGGUGGCCGAAACUGGACUUCCUAUAUAUAAAUCUUUACCUCCGGACCACUCCGGAACUCCUCGUGACAUCCGGGAUCUCAUCCGGGACUCCUAACAACAUUCGGGUUACCGCAUACUAUUAUCUCUACAACCCUAGUGUCACCGAACCUUAAGUGUGUAGACCCUACGGGUUUGGGAACCAUGCAGACAUGACCGAGACGUUCUCCGAUCAAUAACCAACAGCGGGAUCUGGAUACCCAUGUUGGCUCCCACAUGUUCCAUGAUGAUCUCAUCGGAUGAACCACGAUGUCAAGGACUCAAUCAAUCCUGUAUACAAUUCCCUUUGUCUAGCGGUAUUGUACUUGCUCGAGAUUUGAUCGUCGGUAUCCCGAUACCUUGUUCAAUCUCGUUACCGGCAAGUCUCUUUACUCGUUCCGUAACACAUUAUCCCGUGAUCAACCCCUUGGUCAUAUUGUGCACAUUAUGAUGAUGUCCUACCGAGUGGGCCCAGAGAUACCUCUCCGUCAACCGGAGUGACAAAUCCCAGUCUCGAUUCGUGCCAACCCAACAAACACUUUCGGAGAUACCCGUAGUGCACCUUUAUAGCCACCCAGUUACAUUGUGACGUUUGGUACACCCAAAGCAUUCCUGCGGUAUCCGGGAGUUGCACAAUCUCAUGGUCUAAGGAAAUGAUACUUGACAUUAGAAAAGCUUUAGCAUACGAACUACACGAUCUUUGUUCUAGGCUUAGGAUUGGGUCUUUUCCAUCACAUCAUUCUCCUAAUGAUGUGAUCCCGUUAUCAACGACAUCCAAUGUCCAUGGUCAGGAAACCGUAACCAUCUAUUGAUCAACGAGCUAGUCUCUUAGAGGCUUACUAGGGACAUGGUGUUGUCUAUGUACCCACACAUGUAUCUGAGUUUCCUAUCAAUACAAUUAUAGCAUGGACGAUAAACGAUUAUCAUGAACAAGGAAAUAUGAUAAUAAUAACUAAUUUAUUAUUGCCUCUAGGGCAUAUUUCCAACAUUAUCAACCAAUAAUAUGUGACAAUAGUAUCUCAUAGCAAUAUCAAUCAAUUUGGGUUUGUUCAACACGAGCGUUCUUCUAAGAUUGUGUCCUCAAAGUUGUCGGCACUAACAUGCUUAUGAUUAAGAAAAUAUAACCAUCAUGCAACACUUGAGCUAGUCUUAGAGGCGAGACUAGAAAUCUAUUACCGUUUAAUAUUCCGCAUGGGCACAUGACUUUCCCUCUGACCUCGUGGUUAUCCCACUCCCGAGAACUAUUGCAGUUAUACCACGGAAUAUAAACAUUAAUUACAAACUUGGAGAUAGAUAAUAACUAUAAUUAUUUCCUCUAGGGCAUAUCUCCUACAAACAUAGGCAUACACAAAAACAUCUCAAGAUAGAAAAAUUGGAUUCAACCAAAUUUAGCGUAAGUUUACAACUCGUGCAUUCUCUCAAAAAUACAUAUAAGUCUGCAUAUAUCCAAAACAUAUAUGAGAAGAUCAAUGUGGAUAUAUCAUACCAAUAAAGGACAUUUAUGGUCACACUGUCCUGAUAGGGUACAAAUCCAUUUAGACCUAGGGGUGAUAAUGAAGUGAUGAUAUCGGGACCUAAAGUUUCAUAUCUCACUAAUGCCAAAUCACUCAUAUAAUUACAAACUACAUCAGGCAUGGCACUAUAUUCGCUAUCUUUGUCCCGAGUGCAAACUCCAACAAAAGGUAUAUGGUUGAUGUAAUGGAUAUCCUCUCAUAUAUCAAGAUCACAAUUUAUCUUGGUUAAUUCUAUUAGAAAUAAAGAUAUGACCAUGAUAUGACAUUAUGAUACUGGCUACUUACUUGAUCCCAACAAUGUCAUAUCAAUGACUAAAUUUGCUAGAAUAGCCUCCUCACAGGAUCUAUCAAAAUAGACUCUAAUGGAUACUUCCACCAAUCAUUAUCUAACAAGUACAUUAUAUGAGGCAUUGCAAAAUGUGCAUGGCUUAGCAGAAUGAUUGACCACAAUCAAAAUCAUAUGGCUAAGAUUCAUCAGAAUCACAUAUUAUUAUGCAACAAGAUAAUAUCACUUGUAUCAUUGAAAUACAUUUAGGUUAUAUGGAGAGUAAUAUCACAAACAAAUUAGUCAUAAAUUAUUAUCCACACAAAUCUUAUCCUAUAUACAUAAGAGAGUCAUCUCCACUAACUUAUUUAUCUCAACAUGUAAACAUGUCAGAUCACCAUACAAUUAUGGAUGAGAUAAAGCCCACCUUAGCAUGCAACCAUGCAUGGGAAAGACCCACAACCACAUGCAUCCUUGCAUGAGAAAAUAUUUCCAUUCUAUUAUUCUACUUAUAUUCAAUAAAAAUUUACAACUAUAUACAUAAUCAAAUAUAAUAAGUGGUAUAAUUUUUAAUUUGAUUCAUGUGUGAUAAUGUAAAAUUUUAUAUUCCACACAAUCAAAUCUCAUUGAAAUGUACUCCAAGCGAUUCCCGUAGCAGCAACACUUGGGGUAUCAUUUAGUAUACCUAAAUAUUGAUGUCCACUAUCUCAAUUCUCUCAACAUGCACACAUGUCUCAUCGCCCCACAUACUAUUUCUCUUAGCACACAUGUAAUUCUUAUUUACAUUCUCUCUCAACAUGCACACAUCCUAACUUAAAUCAUUCUAAUAUAUUUUCGACUAUAUAAUAAUCAAAUAGGACAAUAUAUUAUGUCUAUUUUAAUUUUUAUUUAAAUUUCAUGAAAAGUUUGCAACCAAUCUCAGCAGCAACACGUGGGGUAUCAUCAAGUUAUUAAGAAGUGAUAACAACAUAGCAGAAAUUAAGCCUUAAUUAAUGUGUUUCAUUAAUUUCUAACACUCCUCCUGAUCAAUGUUUGUCUUUGUGAAUACACAUCAUCUUGAUAAGGACUCCGCCUAGUAUGUGUUGGCCUUUAAAAAUGUUCAUCAUCUCCUUUCUAAGAAGGACUCCUGCAAAAAUCCCGUGGGAAAUAUAUGAGGAGAAUAGGAUCCACAAAAAGUUUAUCCUUUGGGGACGGCAUUCUUGGAGGUGCACUCGGCUUCGCGAGACCAGUGGACGGCAUAUUUGGUGGAGCGGUGCUUCAUCCUACACAUUGAUGGCGGCGGAUCUCGACGGCGUGGCGCAGUGCAGAUUCGGAGUUCGAUGUGCGAGGAUGGACUCGCGUAGGAGGACGACGCUGUCUGGCGUCGUGGUGGCGUCGAUGUCAGAGAGACCUGGCACGGUAGAUGCAACAGUAUAGCUCUGAAGAUGGAUUUGUGGCAGGUGGCUCAGGCGGCAUCAUACCCGGCAGACGUCCUAGUUGAGGAGUGCGUCGGACUGAUAGGUGCCCCAUACCCGGCAGACGUCUUGGUUGGGACCUCAGGUCUUAGAUGUUUAGGUUUGGCUGGGAUGUCUGUUUGGUAUUAGGCCCAGGCUAUCAGCGCCCCUUCAUCAACUGGAUAGGAGUAGCGACAUUUGUUGCUUAGACGGUGGUUUUAGUCUUACUAUUGUAUGACUUUAUAAGGUCUUAUGAGAAUAAUUAAUAAAAUGACCUUAUGCAUCACUCAGAUGCAAAGGCCGAGGGUCCUCCUCCUUUUUUUAAAAAACAAAAAGUUUAUCACUGUAAACGGAAGAGACAACAAAAUGAAGCUACGUGUGCUCAUCUACAACGAUUUGAGCUCCCAUGUGUACGGAUGCACUGGAACGUUUUGUCGUCCUGCAGCUUCAAUUGGCCCUGUAGUCAAAUGACUACACAACUUCAUAACCUUUUUAAAUGUAUAUACAAGUAAAAUUCCAUGGAUAACUUCCGAAAUACUACAAGAUUUAGAGAGGAAUUACCGUUGACAUGACAUCACAGGUUUAUAGUUCUGGUACCGCCACUGCUAUUGGCUAAUUGUGCCGACAGUCGGUGAAACGUGCUAAACGAAAUGGGCCGAGAAAGUGUGACGGGACAUCCUCCUCCAUGAUUCCUUUGUCUUCCUCGACGCCUCUCUCUUAAAUUUCUACCUAUUCCAGUGCACGCGUUGCCCUGUGUACGGCGAUGUCUUCCUCCAUGAUUCCGUCGUCUUCCUCGAUGUCCUUCCUUGACCUGGGCUGCAUAACCGUCUGUUCGUUUUUUCUUUUCAGCAUAUUCCACGGAUAUGCUGAGCACAAUCAUCUUUCUCUCCUCCCCUGUGACAUCCACUCAUUCAAUCAUGCUACGCCUGCAGCCACGUCUUCUUCUAGCCUCGUCCCCUUCACAGCUUGAUCUAACUGCAAGCUCUACAGUGUAUUACAAUUGUGUAGCUUAAUACAAUUAACUAAUAUGUAUAGCCUGCAUUUGGAUCAUACUCCCUUCGUCCGGAAAUACUUGUCAUCAAAAUAAAUAAAAGGGGAUGUAUCUAGAUGUAUCUUAGUUCUAGAUACAUCUCUUUUUAUCCAUUUUGAUGACAAGUAUUUUCGGACGGAGGGAGUAUAUGGAUGGAUUAAUACGACUAACUAAUAUGGAUGCUAGCUUGGUUCGUCCCUUGACUGAUUCGUCCCAUAUGGUUUUUGGAGUUAGGGGAAGAAGAUAAACAAUGCUACUGCUCGCAGCAAUGCAUUACGUAGAUUGCUUGGAACAAUGCUACUGUUAGGAGGCUUUGGAAUUUGGAACGAUCAGUGGAGCAGGUGUUCCUUUUUACCUUGCAGUUUACAUGUUAGAGAAUGUCUACUCUUUGAGGCAGAAAUUUACCAUGGAUCGAUGGUGUCUGCACUUGUUGCCGGCCACCAGCCUUCCAUAACUAUAGUACAAGUUUUGCAUGUAGUACUGGGCUCCUCAUGGCUGGACGCAAUCGCGAGCUCACGUGGAAGCAGUGGCCGCCAGGCCGGCUAUGCGACAUUUUCCUUUUUUUUGAACGAUGGCUAUGCGACAUUGACAGGCUAUGCCGUACGACGACAGUGAUGCCGUUUCUAUCAUGCAAGGGGCAACUUCUUCCGUCACGCAAGGGCCAAGUUCUGUGCGGAUCUAUCUGUGUAGCGCGUGAAAGCUGUGUUUACAUCUGAAGUAAUUUGCGUCCGUACCAAUCUGCACUCCAUAGUAUGCAACGGUAGGUUUCUUCUCGCAGUUUUGCUAAUUAAAUUAAAGAUCGUGUUAUCAUUCAAGAAAAAUAUGAAAGAUCUGUUGAUUUGCUUCAGAGGGAGCCAUAUGCCUAUUUUUUCUUGUUGGUGACGUGGUUGUAGUACGGUUGGUGUUAAUUUUGAUAUAAAGACAUAUUCUCUCUGUACCGAAAUACUUGUCGUUGAGGAGAACCAGCACAAGUUCCCCAGCGACAAAUAUUGUGGUACAGAGAAAGUAUAUAACAUCAAAAGUAAAACACAUGGGACUUGUAAAAUGCUACUAAUUUGAACUUGAGACACAAAGUUACGAAGCAUAUGCAUCCUUUUAGCACAUUAUUUCUCCGCCACGACGCAUCUAUCAGUAUACCCGCCUCCUCGGGUGUAACACUCGGCAAAGACGUUGCCAGGGUUUAUUUGGCCUUCGCCAAGUUUUUUUUUUUAUAUUGGCAUUCUUUGACUUUUCCUAUAGUAGUGAGUAAAGUGGCAACGAUAGAUAUAUGAAGAUAGUAACCGUGUAGACCUGAUGUGUACUGGAGACAGAAGAACCUGUAUAAGGUGAUAAGGAACUUUUUUUAAAGAUUAUUAAAAGGCAGCUCUGUAUUCAUAUCAUAGUCAUUGCAUACACUGUCUUGGAUGCAACCCGGAGUAAGGGCAUCUCCAACGCUGAUCCGUAAAUUUACUCCGCAUCCGUUCGCGGACAGGGAGGGACCAGUUUACUGACACAGAUGCUAAAGGCGACCAUCCGAUGCUGCCCGCAUACAUUUCAACAAUUGUUUCAACUAACCGGACGAAAUUCAUGAAACACGAUGCAAACAUGGCGGAUUUUUAUGUACAUUUCAAACAUUUUGGAGAAAAAAAAAAAGAAACCCGACCCUAGGCCUAUCCUAUGACGCCAGCGGUCGCCCACUUUCUUUGUAUUCCGCAACGGCGACCACGUCCUUCAUCUGUUGUCUCCAUUAGCACCGGUGGGGGAUUAAGACCCGUGAAGUGAAUGUGCGCUCUCCGACAAGAAAGAGUAGGACAUGGGAGACGGUCCGGCCCACAAGGGACACAAUGUCCUGCCGCCUCCCAUGCCUUACUCAUCCUCUGAGGAGUCCGCAACCUGCCCGUCGCCAGUGCCGGAGGACAUGAGGUCGGUGAUGGAUGUGACGGUCCGUCACUGUUCACCUACCACAUGCGCCCGCAAAAGUUAGACAUCGGCGCAUACGACACGCAGCUGGCGGUGUUCUUGUCCUCAGUUGCCAGCGCAUAUGCACGUGUUGCCGCCUCCGCGUCUGCCUAUGUCGGUUGUUCAUUGCGAGUAGCGCGUAGAGCAUGCGCGGCCUCAUAGAACGCUCUCUGCUCCGCAACGAAGUUUGGGUUAGCCGUGAACAUGGAGGCCACGGCCUCCUCGCUUGCGCGCUCACCGUAGAUCUGGCCCUCUGUCAGCUACUGUUGCUCGAAGAGGAACAUGGUGUACCUCUGCUCCUCUUGCGCCUACUGGAAUGCUGACAUAGGUGACGACCAAGCUGCUCCUCCUUUGCUAUGGCGGCGUCGUAGUGCGCUUGCACCUGCGCCAUGAUCAGGCCGGCAUGCACCAGCGCAGGGUUUGGCGUUGUGUUGUCGUUCGAGACCAUCUCCAUCGUGGAAUCGUCGUUGGAGACCUAGGGCAGGCUAGCCGGCAUGCCCUGCUCUAUCCGCUUGGUGCGGAGAGACUGCCAGGCGGCUGCAAGAGGGGCCACCUCGUGCUUCAUCUCCGACGAAAGACUAUGCCACAGAGCGUUCCCGCUCGCGAUCAUGGCGGAUGCGGAGCAAAGGAGGAGGAUGUUGAGCGGAAGUGUUAUGGUAUGGAGUUAGCCGGGUGUGGCUGCCUUUAAAUAGCAGAUUUCGCUGAGACCAAGCGUCUGGGCGCGUCAAUGCGCGGCGCCAGAAUUGGUUCCUCGGUCGGUGAGUGUGUUUAGUGGCAGCAUAUGGACGUACGGGCAUUGAAUGGGCGUGGUUGAUAUCUGUCCAUCCCGUACAACAAACGUCGCUCCGGCAUAGAACAGACGCGAACAUAGGGGACGCUGCGCCGACGGCUGUCUCAGCCGGUGCGUCGCUUUAAUAUGUUGGCCCCAGUAAGAGGCCGCGUUCGCUCUGGGCCAGCGUCAUUAUGGAGUGGCCGUUCUAUAACAGCAUGAAUGUGGGCACCGGUGGAGGGUUUUAGGUGGGACAGAGGAGUCAGGAGCGGGUCGUGACAAUGGUCCGGACGCCCCCAAAGUCCCCCCUCCCCACACUUUGUCUUUGAUUUGCGGGAAAAACACGUCUGAAUUGCUUGGGGCAUCAAUAUAGGACCGUGUUCAAUGUCACAACACGUCCGUACCAUGUGGUUUGAAUGUAUAGGGUCCGCAUCGGAGAUGCCCUAAGAGCAUCUCCAACAGAGGCGCUAAAAGUAGUCCGCGCUGAAAAAAUCGCUAAUUUAGCACGCGGAGCAUCUCCAGCAGACGCUGCAAAAGCCAGCACGCUGUAAAAUCCAUCCGGCGCGCUGGGAAUUUCUGCAUCACACGCGGGAUAUUUGUUGCGCGGCGUACAGCGCGCUGGACAAUGACGCGUGAAGACCAGCUGCUCCGCUCCGCUUCGUUCCCUCUGCUCGUUCCGUCGUUUCCUGCAGCUCGCCGCCGCCGGCCGCCGCCACUCCUCUGCGUGCUCGUCAUCUGCUCUUCCCGGCAUGGGGCGGAGCCGCCACUGCCCUUCUGCUCGCCGGCUGGAGCUUGCCGCCUCGAGUUCACCGGCCGGGAGCACGUGCCGGCCGGAGCCGCCGUUGCCCUUCUGCUCGCAGCCUCCCUGCAACUUGCCGCCUUGAGCUCUGUGGCCGAAGGCUAGCGUUGUUGGGGAACGUUGCAGAAAAUAAAAAAUUUCCUACGGUUUCACCAAGAUCCAUCUAUGAGUUCAUCUAAGCAACGAGUGAUAGGAGUGCAUCUACAUACCUUUGUAGAUCGCGAGCGGAAGCGUUCAAGAGAACGGGGAUGAUGGAGUCGUACUCGCCGUGAUCCAAAUCACCGAUGACCAAGUGCCGAACGGACAGCACCUCCGCGUUCAACACACGUACGGAGUGGAUGACGUCUCCUCCUUCUUGAUCCAGCAAGGGGGAAGGAGAGGUUGAGGAAGAAGGCUCCAGCAGCAGCACGACGGCGUGGUGAUGGUGGAGAGGCAGUACUCCGACAGGGCUUCGCCAAGCACUUAACAAAGGAGGAGAGGUGUUGGGGAGGGGAGGGGCUGCACCUUGGAUGUUAUGUGCAGCCCUCCCCUCGCCCCUCUAUUUAUAGGGGAAGGGGGAAGGGGGCCGGCCCCCUCUAGAUGAGAUCUAAAGGGGGGCGGCCAAGGGAGGGGGCUUGCCCUCCAAGCAAGGGGGGCGCCCCCACUGAUUUUUUUUUCAAAAUUGUGAUGAUUUUUAUAGCAAAUUCGGAAUCUAUACGUCCUCACGCACCAAAAUCAAAACUAGCACCCCGUUGGCCUCCAGUUGGCCGAAGAGGGGCUCUUCAGCCUACGGUUGACCGAAUUGGGCUCUUCAGCCUCCCGUUGGCCGAAGAGUGCCCCAACUGGGCUGAAAAGGACUAUUUGGUCUGUCGUAGGCCGAAGAGCACUCUUUGGUCAACCGUAGGCCGAAGAGUCCUUGGGCUCCAACUUUUCACGUUAAUGGGAGGCCGAAGCUGCAUGGGCCUUGGGCCCCAAAGAGUAAUCUUCGGCCUAUGGUUGACCAAAGAGUACUCUUCAGCCUACGGCAGACCAAAGAGUCAUUUUCGUCCCAGUUUGGGUACUCUUCGGCCAACGGGAGGCUGAAGAGCCCACUUCGGUCAAGCGCAGGCCGAAGAGCCCCUCUUCGGCCAACUAGAGGCCGACGGGGUGCUAGUUUUGAUUUUCUUGCAUGAAGACAUAUAGACUUCGAAUUUGCUAUAAAAAUCAUCAUAGUUUUGAAAAAAAAUCCCCCCACUAGGGUCCCCCCCAACCCUAGGCGCAUGGGCCCAAGGGGGGGCGCGCCCAGCCCUCCAGGGGCUGUUUUCCUGCCCCCUACGGCCCAUGAGUCCCUCCGGGAGGGGUGGCCCCUCCCGGUGGACCCCCCGGAACCCCUCCGGUGGCCCCGGUACAAUAUCGAUGUGCCCCCGAAACUUUCCGGUGACCGUAUGACAACUUCCCAUAUAUAAAUCUUUACCUCCGGACCAUUCCGGAACUCCUCGUGACGUCCGAGAUCUCAUCCGGGACUACGAACAACAUUCAGUAAUCACAUACAAGUCUUCCUAAUAACCCUAGCGUCACCGAACCUUAAGUGUGUAGACCCUACGGGUUCGGGAGACAUGCAGACAUGACUGAGACGGCUCUCCGGUCAAUAACCAACAGCGGGAUCUGGAUACCCAUGUUGGCUCCCACAUACUCCUCGAUGAUCUCAUCGGAUGAACCACGAUGUCGAGGAUUCAAACAACCCCGUAUACUAUUCCCUUUCUUAGAUGGUAUGUUACUUGCCCGAGAUUCGAUCGUCGGUAUCCCAAUACCUCGUUCAAUCUCGGUGCCGGCAAGUCACUUUACUCGUACCGUAAUGCAUGAUCCCGUGACCAAACACUUGGUCACUUUGAGCUCAUUAUGAUGAUGCACUACCGAGUGGGCCCAGUGAUACCUCUCCGUAAUACGGACUGACAAAUCCCAGUCUCGAUCCGUGUCAACCCAACAGACACUUUUGAAGAUACCUGUAGUGCACCUUUAUAGUCACCCAGUUACGUUGUGACGUUUGGUACACCCAAAGCACUCCUACGGUAUCCGGGAGUUACACGAUCUCAUGGUCUAAGGAAAAGAUACUUGACACUGGAAAAGCUCUAGCAAAACGAACUACACGAUCUUUUGCUAUGCUUAGGAUUGGGUCUUGUCCAUCACACCAUUCUCCAAAUAAUGUGAUCCCGUUGUCAACGACAUCCAAUGUCCAUAGUCAGGAAACCAUGACUAUCCAUUGACCAACGAGCUAGUCAACUAGAGGCUUUCUAGGGACGUAUUGUGGUCUAUGUAUUCACACAUGUAUUAUGAUUUCCGGAUAAUACAAUUAUAGCAUGAAUAAAAGACAAUUAUCAGGAACAAGGAAAUAUAAUAAUAAUCCUUUUAUUAUUGCCUCUAGGGCAUAUUUCCAACAGUCUCCCACCUGCACUAGAGUCAAUAAUCUAGUUGCAUUGUGAUGAAUCGAACACCCAUAGAGUUCUGGUGUUGAUCAUGUUUUGCUCGCGGAAGAGGUUUAGUCAACGGAUCUGCGACAUUCAGAUCCGUAUGUACUUUGCAAAUAUCUAUGUCUCCAUCUUGAACAUUUUCACGGAUGGAGUUGAAACGACGCUUCAUGUGCCUGGUCUUCUUCUGAAACCUGGGCUCCUUGGCAAGCGCAAUAGCUCCAGUGUUGUCACAGAAGAGUUUGAUCGGCCCCAACGCAUUGGGAAUGACUCCUAGGUCGGUGAUGAACUCCUUCACCCAAAUUGCUUCAUGCGCUGCCUCCGAGGCUGCCAUGUACUCUGCUUCACAUGUAGAUCCCGCCACGACGCUCUGCUUGCAGCUGCACCAGCUUACUGCCCCACCAUUCAACAUAUACACGUAUCCGGUUUGUGACUUAGAGUCAUCCAGAUCUGUGUCGAAGCUAGCGUCGACGUAACCCUUUACGACGAGCUCUUUGUCACCUCCAUAAACGAGAAACAUGUCCUUAGUCCUUUUCAGGUACUUCAGGAUAUUCUUGACCGCUGUCCAGUGUUCCUUGCCGGGAUUACUUUGGUACCUUCCUACCAAACUUACGGCAAGGUUUACAUUAGGUCUGGUACACAGCAUGGCAUACAUAAUAGAUCCUAUGGCUGAGGCAUAGGGGAUGACGCUCAUCUCUUCUUUAUCUUUUGCCGUGGUCGGGCAUUGAGCCGACCUCAAUCUCACACCUUGCAAUACAGGCAAGAACCCUUUCUUGGACUGAUCCAUUUUGAACUUCUUCAAAAUCUUAUCAAGGUAUGUGCUUUGUGAAAGACCUAUGAGGCGUCUCGAUCUAUCCCUAUAGAUUUUGAUGCCUAAUAUGUAAGCAGCUUCUCCAAGGACCUUCAUUGAAAAACACUUAUUCAAGUAGGCCUUAAUGUUGUCCAAGAAUUCUACACCAUUUCCCAUCAAAAGUAUGUCAUCUACAUAUAAUAUGAGAAAUGCUACAGAGCUCCCACUCACUUUCUUGGAAACGCAGGCUUCUCCAUAAGUCUGCAUAAACCCAAACGCUUUGAUCAUCUCAUCAAAGCGAAUGUUCCAACUCCGAGAUGCUUGCACCAGCCCAUAAAUGGAUCGCUGGAGCUUGCAUACUUUGUUAGCAUUCUUAGGAUCGACAAAACCUUCCGGCUGCAUCAUAUACAGCUCUUCCUUAAGAUAACCGUUAAGGAAUGCCGUUUUGACGUCCAUCUGCCAUAUCUCAUAAUCAUAGUAUGUGGCAAUUGCUAACAUGAUUCGGAUGGACUUAAGCUUCGCUACGGGAGAGAAAGUCUCAUCGUAGUCAAUCCCUUGAACUUGUCGAUAACCCUUAGCAACAAGUCGAGCUUUAUAGAUGGUGACAUUUCCAUCCGCGUCCGUCUUCUUCUUAAAGAUCCAUUUGUUUUCUAUCGCUCGCCGAUCAUCGGGCAAGUCAGUCAAAGUCCAUACUUUGUUUUCAUACAUGGCUUCUAGCCAUUUGUUGGAAUCUGGGCCCACCAUCGCUUCUUCAUAGUUCAAAGGUUCACCGUUGUCUAACAACAUGAUUUCCAGGACAGGGUUGCCAUACCACUCUGGUGUGGAACGUGUCCUUGUGGACCUACGAAGUUCAGUAGCAACUUGAUCCGAAGUACCUUGAUCAUCAUCAUUAAUUUCCUCUCCAGUCGGUGAAGGCACCGCAGGAACAUUUUCCUGAGCUGCGCUACUUUCCGGUUCAAGAGGUAGUACUUCAUCGAGUUCUACUUUCCUCCCACUUACUCCUUUUGAGAGAAACUCCUUUUCCAGAAAGGAUCCGUUCUUGGCAACAAAGAUCUUGCCUUCGGAUCUAAGGUAGAAGGUAUACCCAAUGGUUUCCUUAGGGUAUCCUAUGAAGACGCAUUUUUCCGACUUGGGUUCGAGCUUUUCAGGUUGAAGUUUCUUGACAUAAGCAUCGCAUCCCCAAACUUUUAGAAACGACGGCUUAGGUUUCUUCCCAAACCAUAAUUCAUACGGUGUCAUCUCAACAGAUUUAGACGGUGCCCUAUUUAAAGUGAAUGUAGCUGUCUCUAGAGCGUAUCCCCAAAAUAUAGCGGUAAAUCGGUAAGAGACAUCAUAGAUUGCACCAUAUCCAAUAGAGUGCGAUUACGAUGUUCGGACACACCGUUACGCUGAGGUGUUCCAGGCGGCGUGAGUUGUGAAACGAUUCCACAUUUUCUUAAGUGUGUACCAAAUUCGUGACUUAAAUAUUCUCCUCCACGAUCUGAUCGUAAGAAUUUUAUCUUUCGUUCACGUUGAUUCUCUACCUCAUUCUUAAAUUCCUUGAACUUUUCAAAGGUCUCAGACUUGUGUUUCAUCAAGUAGACAUACCCAUAUCUACUCAAGUCAUCUGUGAGAGUGAGAACAUAACGAUAUCCUCCGCGAGCCUCAACGCUCAUUGGACCACACACAUCAGUAUGUAUGAUUUCCAAUAAGUUGGUUGCUCGCUCCAUUGUUCCGGAGAACGGGGUCUUGGUCAUUUUUCCCAUGAGGCAUGGUUCGCAUGUGUCAAAUGAUUCAUAAUCGAGAGACUCUAAAAGUCUAUCAGCAUGGAGCUUCUUCAUGCACUUGACACCAAUGUGACCAAGGCAGCAGUGCCACAAGUAUGUGGGACUACCGUUAUCAACUUUACAUCUUUUGGUAUUCACACUAUGAAUAUGUGUAACAUUACGUUCGAGAUUCAUUAAGAAUAAACCAUUGACCAUCGGGGCAUGACCAUAAAACAUAUCUCUCAUAUAAAUAGAAUAACCAUUAUUCUCGGAUUUAAAUGAGUAGCCAUCUCGCAUCAAACGAGAUCCAGAUACAAUAUUCAUGCUCAAACUUGGCACUAAAUAACAAUUAUUGAGGUUUAAAACUAAUCCCGUGGGUAAAUGUAGAGGUAGCGUGCCGAUGGCGAUCACAUCGACCUUGGAACCAUUCCCGACGCGCAUCGUCACCUCGUCCUUCGCCAGUCUCUGCUUAUUUCGCAGCUCCUGCUGUGAGUUACAAAUAUGAGCAACGGCACCGGUAUCAAAUACCCAGGAGUUACUACGAGUACUGGUAAGGUACACAUCAAUUACAUGUACUACCUCCGUCUAGGUGAAUAAGUCAUUCGUGUAGUUCUAGGUCAUCGAUUUGAGCAAUUAAAUAUAUGUUAUAUGUCAUGAAAAGUAUAUCACUAGAUUUCUACACGGAUGUAGUUUCUAAAUAUAUAUAUUUUGUUACAUAUAAUACAUAUUUAGAUAGUUAAAUCAUCGACCUAGAACUACGCGAAUGACUUAUUCACCGAGACGGAGGUAGUAUAUCAAAUAUACCUUUAGUGUUGCCGGCCUUCUUGUCCGCUAAGUAUUUGGGGCAGUUCCGCUUCCAGUGACCCUUCCCUUUGCAAUAAAAGCACUCAGUCUCAGGCUUGGGUUCAUUCUUUGACUUCUUCCCGGCAACUGGCUUACCGGGCGCGGCAACAUCUUUGCCGUCCUUCUUGAAGUUCUUCUUACCCUUGCCCUUCUUGAACUUAGUGGUCUUAUUGACCAUCAACACUUGAUGUUCUUUCUUGAUUUCAACCUCUGCUGACUUCAGCAUUGAAAAUACUUCAGGAAUGGUCUUCACCAUCCCCUGCAUAUUGUAGUUCAACACAAAGCUCUUGUAGCUUGGUGGGAGCGACUGAAGGAUUCUGUCAAUGACCGCCUCGUCCGGGAGGUUGAUCUUCAGCUGGGACAGGCGGUUAUGCAACCCAGACAUUUUGAGUAUGUGCUCACUGACAGAACUGUUUUCCUCCAUCUUACAACUAUAGAACUUGUCGGAGACUUCAUAUCUCUCGACCCGUGCAUGAGCUUGAAAAAACAUUUUCAGCUCCUCGAACAUCUCAUAUGCUCCGUGUCGCUCAAAACGCUUUUGGAGCCUCGGUUCUAAGCUGUAAAGCAUGCCGCACUGAACGAGGGAGUAAUCAUUAGCACAUGACUGCCAAGCGUUCAUAACGUCUUGGUUUUCUGGGAUGGGUGCUUCACCUAGCGGUGCUUCUAGGACAUAAUCUUUCUUGGCUGCUAUGAGGAUGAUCCUCGGGUUCCAGACCCAGUCCGAAUAGUUGCUGCCAUCAUCUUUCAGCUUGGUUUUCUCUAGGAACGCGUUGAAGUUCAUGUUGACAUGUGCGUUGGCCAUUUGAUCUACAAGACAUAUUUUGCAAAGACUUUAGACUAAGUUCAUGAUAAUUAAGUUCAUCUAAUCAAAUUAUUUAAUGAACUCCCACUCAGAUUGACAUCCCUCUAGUCAUCUAAGUGUUACACGAUCCGAGUCGACUAGGCCGUCUUCGAUCAUCACGUGAGACGGACUAGUCAUCAUCGGUGAACAUCUCCAUGUUGAUCGUAUCUUCCAUACGACUCAUGUUCGACCUUUCGGUCUCUUGUGUUCCGAGGCCAUGUCUGUACAUGCUAGGCUCGUCAAGUUAACCCUAAGUGUUUAUGCAUGUGUAAAACUGUCUUACACCCAUUGUAUGUGAACGUAAGGAUCUAUCACACCCGAUCAUCACGUGGUGCUUCGAAACGACGAACUUUAGCAACGGCGCACAGUUAGGGGGAACACUUUCUUGAAAUUAUUAUAAGGGAUCAUCUUAUUUACAACCGUCGUUCUAAGUAUACAAGAUGCAUAAACAUAAUAAACAUCACAUGCAAUUAUAUAAUAGUGACAUGAUAUGGCCAAUAUCAUAUAGCUCCUUUGAUCUCCAUCUUCGGGGCUCCAUGAUCAUCUUCGUCACCGGCAUGACACCAUGAUCUCCAUCAUCAUGAUCUCCAUCAUCGUGUCUUCAUGAAGUUGUCACGCCAAUGACUACUUCUACUUUUAUGGCUAACGCGUUUAGCAAUAAAGUAAAGUAAUUUACAUGGCGUUCUUCAAUGACACGCAGGUCAUACAAAUAAAAAAGACAACUCCUAUGGCUCCUGCCGGUUGUCAUACUCAUCGACAUGCAAGUCGUGAUUCCUAUUACAAGAACAUGAUCUCAUACAUCACAAUAUAUCAUUCAUCAUUCAUCACAACUUCUGGCCAUAUCACAUCACAUGACAAUUGCUGCAAAAACAAGUUAGACGUCCUCUAAUUGUUGUUGCAUCUUUUACGUGGCUGCAAUUGGGUUCUAGCAAGAACGUUUUCUUACCUACGAAUAACCACAACGUGAUUUUGUCAACUUCUAUUUACCCUUCAUAAGGACCCUUUUCGUCGAAUCCGCUCCAACUAAAGUGGGAGAGACAGACACCCGCUAGCCACCUUAUGCAACUAGUGCAUGUCAAGCGGUGGAACCUGUCUCACGUAAGCGUACGUGUAAGGUCGGUCCGGGCCGCUUCAUCCCACAAUACCGCUGAAGCAAAAUAAGACUAGUAGCGGCAAGCAAGUUGACAAGAUCUACGCCCACAACAAAAUUGUGUUCCACUCGUGCUAUAGAGAACUACGCAUAGACCUAGCUCUGAUGCCACUGUUGGGGAACGUUGCAGAAAAUAAAAAAUUUCCUACGGUUUCACCAAGAUCCAUCUAUGAGUUCAUCUAAGCAAUGAGUGAUAUGAGUGCAUCUACAUACCUUUGUAGAUCGCAAGCGGAAGCGUUCAAGAGAACGGGGAUGACGGAUUCGUACUCGUCGUGAUCCAAAUCACCGAUGACCAAGUGCCGAACGGACAGCACCUCCGCGUUCAACACGCGUACGGAGCGGAUGACGUCUCCUCCUUCUUGAUCCAGCAAGGGGGAAGGAGAGAUUGAGGAAGAAGGCUCCAGCAGCAGCACGACGGCGUGGUGAUGGUGGAGAGGCAGUACUCCAACAGGGCUUCGCCAAGCACUUAACGAAGGAGGAGAGGUGUUGGGGAGGGGAGGGGCUAUGCCUUGGAUGUUAUGUGCAGCCCUCCCCUCGCCCCUCUAUUUAUAGGGGAAGGGGGAAGGGGGCCGGCCCCCUCGAGAUGAGAUCUAGAGGGGGGGGCGGCCAAGGGAGGGGGCUUGCCCCCCAAGCAAGGGGGGCGCCCCCACUAGGGUUCCCCCCCAACCCUAGGCGCAUGGGCCCAAGGGGGGCAGCCCUCCAGGGGCUAUUUCCCUGCCCCCUACGGCCCAUGAGGCCCUCCGAGAGGGGUGGCCCCUCCCGGUGGACCCCCCGGAACCCCUCCGGUGGCCCCGGUACAAUACCGAUAUGCCCCCGAAACUUUCCGGUGACCGUAUGACAACUUCCCAUAUAUAAAUCUUUACCUCCGGACCAUUUUGGAACUCCUCGUGACGUCCGGGAUCUCAUCCGGGACUCCGAACAACAUUCAGUAAUCACAUACAAGUCUUCCUAAUAACCCUAGCGUCACCGAACCUUAAGUGUGUAGACCCUACGGGUUCGGGAGACAUGCAGACAUGACCGAGACAGCUCUUCAGUCAAUAACCAACAGCGGGAUCUGGAUACCCAUGUUGGCUCCCACAUACUCCUCAAUGAUCUCAUCGGAUGAACCACGAUGUCGAGGAUUCAAACAACCCCGUAUACUAUUCCCUUUGUCAGACGGUAUGUUACUUGCCCGAGAUACGAUCGUCGGUAUCCCAAUACCUCAUUCAAUCUCGUUGCCGGCAAGUCACUUUACUCGUAUCGUAAUGCAUGAUCCCGUGACCAGACACCUGGUCACUUUGAGCUCAUUAUGAUGAUGCACUACCGAGUGGGCCCAGUCAUACCUCUCCGUAAUACGGAGUGACAAAUCCCAGUCUCGAUCCGUGUCAACCCAACAGACACUUUCGGAGAUAUCUGUAGUGCACCUUUAUAGUCACCCAGUUACGUUGUGACGUUUGGUACACCCAAAGCACUCCUACGGUAUCCGGGAGUUACACGAUCUCAUGGUUUAAGGAAAAGAUACUUGACACUGGAAAAGCUCUAGCAAAACGAACUACACGAUCUUGUGUUAUGCUUAGGAUUGGGUCUUGUCCAUCAUAUCAUUCUCCUAAUGAUGUGAUCCCGUUGUCAACGACAUCCAAUGUCUAUAGUCAGGAAACCAUGACUAUCCGUUGACCAACGAGCUAGUCAACUAGAGGCUUUCUAGGGGCGUAUUGUGGUCUAUGUAUUCACACGUGUAUUACGAUUUCCGGAUAAUACAAUUAUAGCAUGAAUAAAAGACAAGUAUCAUGAACAAGGAAAUAUAAUAAUAAUCCUUUUAUUAUUGCCUCUAGGGCAUAUUUCCAACAAGCGUUGCAAGCGGAGCUCGCGGUUUCAGAUCGAUUGCAAGCCAGCUGAUAGGGAAGCCAAGCUAGCUAGCUCGUGUUUGUGCAUCAAGCUAGCUCGCGUGUGGUGGCCGGGAUUUCAACGAUCCAACAAUUGGGGACCUAAUUGCGUUUUUGUUUUGAUCAGAUGGAUUUAUCUGUAAAUGUUAGGGACCUGUUUGUUGUAGAUAUAUUUGUGAUGCUUUAUUUUUUUAGUGCGUCUGCUGGACCGUUGCGCGCCGUCCGGUACGCGCUAUAUUUUUGUGCGUCUGCUGGACUGAAUCUGCCAUGGCGCGCUAAAAUUACUAAAAUGACGCUGUAAAAUUAUUUUAGCGCGUUGCUUUUUUGGGCGUCUGUUGAAGAUGCUCUAACAGCAUGCAAGAGAGAGUAAGAACAAAGCUCUGUCCUCGCAGAUUUCUGUGGUCGAAAGCCACAGAACCACAAUCAAAAUAUUUCAAGAAAAUUUAAGUCAGUCUUGGAUUUGUCCUACAAGUGUAAUAAUUGCCCUGUGCGGAUAUGUCAUGUGGAACACAAAUGUGUGCAGUGGUGCCCCCAUGUGUCUCAAACUUUAUCAUCCCGCUCAUGAUGGCAUGCAUGCAUGCAAAGCAGAUUGCCAAGUAAGGUGCCAAAUCUGCACCUAUAAAUAGAGGUGCUACGAGCUCUGGCGAACAACAACUACAACAUAGCUUUACACACAACCAUAAGACAGAAGUGAGAGAGCUUUGCGGCAAACCAUAGAAGCAACCAUGAAGAACACCAAGCUCGUGGCGAUCCUUGUCCUCCAGGCCAUCAUGGUCAUGGGAAUCCUCGCACACGUGAAUGGUUGGUGGUUGUUCAUGCUUGUUUAUUCUAUUUGUUUCCCUGACAGAUUGAAUGCCCUUCUGUGAUUACAUUGAGUCUUAUUAUAUCUUAUGUGAUUAACUAAUUGUGAUGUCAUGCCAUGCAUGUGUGCAGCCGAUUACUUCCCGAAGUGCUGCAACAACUGCAGGUCCUUCUCGGGGGUCGACGUCUGCGACGACGCACACCCCCAGUGCCCCAAGGGCUGCUCGGCCUGCCGCGUGGUGACGCCGAGCCCUCACAAGACGUUCCGGUGCGCCGACAUGAAGAGCACCGUCGACGGCACCUGCGGCGGGCCAUGCAAGAAGCACUGAUCCGUUCAGGGCUUCAGGCUCAGACGUGGUGUGCCGUCUAAAAUAAAGCUCAGAUGAUGAGCCAGCUUGUCACAGUGUUUGUGCGUGCCUGUGGCUCCACCUUGCAUACCGACAAUACAUACGCUGUUGUCGGUCGUCGUUGUUUCAUCACCGUCAUUGUUCUUCGUUUUAAUUUCUUCUUCAAGAGUUGUCUGUUGUUGCUCGCCUUUCAGGUGCCUGUUGUAUCAUCCGCGAAUAAAAACGUGUGUUGGUUGUGUGUCUCAGCUUAAAAUGCCUUUGGUCAUGUCACGCCAUUUUCUUAGGGACAUGGCUUUAAUAUCUUUCUACUUGUCUGCACUGUAGAGAACUCUUAUUGUCCUACUAUUCUCUCUCCCAAAAUUCGAAAUU
rnacentral:lncRNA from 1 species